rnacentral:lncRNA from 1 species
CAGCGAUCACUCGUGAAUUAAAAUAUUGUGGUAUCCGCCGUUGUACACUUACCGGCCCGAUCACAUUACUAUCGGAAUUCGCGCGGCACGAGUGCUGCGAUAAGCGCGGUGACAUCGUCGUGGACACGGCGGCGGCGGCGGUCUCGACGACAAUAAAAACGUGAGUCGAAAAAAACAAAUUAUUUAAGAAAGUGCCGAAGGCGAUGAAAUCGAAACGCUUCGCGCAAUAACCCGCCGACACAGCUUAUUUUUCAAAGAGACAAAAAAAAAAAAAAAAAUAGUUUUUUAAAUACCGCGUUUAUAGUGAAAUAGAUGUCAACGUUGAUUUGGCGACACAUAGAAAAAACAUACAGAAAAAUUUGUUUUCACCUCGUUUGAUUAAUUAUGCAUAGGCGCGUGUAAAUGAGAGGGGAUUUAGGGGUAAGGGUUUAGGGGAUCCCUUAAUCCCCCCGUUUAGGGGUUCAAACACCCUGAAAUUCCAUGAGAAUUAUGAUGAAAGUAGAUUUUCAAUAAAUUCUCAAAAUUUGUUUUCGUAAAUGAGGAAGAUAAAUACAAUUUUGGUUUUAUUUUAAUUUUUUUACCAGGCAGUAGGUAUGUAUUGUUAUUAUUGCCAUUUUUUGUUGUGGUUUUCCUGCUUUUAGAAAACUAUAACUGAAACGACGAUAUAUCAUAGUCCGCAUAAUUAUCGAAACAAUAUGAAUUACGUUUGUCAUUUGGGUUGUAUUCACUUAAAAAAAUGUUAAAAAUGUAAAAUUAAGUAUUAAGUAAAGCCGAAAUGGCUAAACGUGAAUGUUAUAAAAUGUUGAUAUUUUUAAUGAAAAAUAAAUAAUCCUACAGUUGAAAGUACGUAAACUUCUUCGUUACAAGAGUAUGAAAGUGUACAACCUUACUCCCCCCCCCCCAAAAAAAAAAAAUUUUUUUUUUUUUUUUGUAAACGCACCUGUCCACACCGUAUGUUAACCGUAAGAGACAUUUAUAAAUUAUAUUUCGUUUUGAGUUGUCUUGUGUUUUCAUUCAGAAUCGUUUAACCACGUUAUGAUUUCGUACGCGGAUAACAAAUCGGACUUUUCUUGUUACCGCGGAAAAAUCACGGGAAUCGUAUUACGCUCGAUCGGACGAAAGCGUCCGCGGAAAUAUAAAUCUGGAGGGGGGGGGCAAAAUCAAAAGUAUAAGACUUUUUUUUUUUUUUUACAACUUACUGCAACUUACAAGUAAUCACGGCUUGAAUAUUCGAGCACCCCCUGCGGACGCCCUUGCGAUCGGAUAUAACCAGAACGUGAGUUUUGCCAAAAACUGGCGCUGUCCGAUGAGAAACCCUUCAAUUUUAACUUUUUCGGUAUGGUAUUUAAUAUUCACCAUAUAGUAUGGGAAAUUGAACACUCGGUCAAAAUACAACUUUGUGUAUUAUAAUAUUUAAAAUUUCCCAGAAAAUGUACAGUCGGUCGUUUUUCUAACGCUGGAUGGAAACCUGUAAAGACUAUUUGAUCGUAUUACUUUUGUCGUCCCGGGAAAGAAACAUCAUUUGAGUCGGUGGUUUUUUUUUUUUUUUUUUUUUACAAUUUGUUUAUUUUUAUUUUUAAUCCAAAUUGCACAAGUGUAAAUAUUUCCGAAAUUCGUGUAUACGGCGUAUUCGUGUAUUAGUUUAUGUACAAAAUUGAAUUGAAAUUUAUUUUAAAAUUAUUUUUUUUCCACACAAGCUAUUUUUCCCGGGGGGACCAAAGGUUUAACUCACUUGGUCGCUGCUUUUCGCUCGACGACGAUGACUGCGAUAAUGAGAGCAAAAUAAUGUUGUUUCAUGACAUUUUUUGGUUCUGUCGAAUUUCUCCUGAACAUGGAGACCACACUGUUGCCUCUGUCUGCCUGUAUCUGUCUUUUUCCCGCUAAAUUCGGACAUUUCAACCCCGUAUACGGACCAUAUGAACUCAAACUACCGUGCGUUAUAUGGGUCGUUUUACGUGCGGAUAUUGAAGAGAUACAAAUGGAAUUGAGUUUCAAUGAGAAUAUUUCGGCAUGUUAUUUCAGAGAAAGUGUUUUUUACGCUUUUAACAAAUCCCCCGGAUGAAGUCACACGGGGACAAUGUUUUUAAUUUACGCACUGCGGUUAUCAUCGAAAAUGUGCAUUUUGGGGAUUUCGACUUUCGGUGUAUUCCAUUUUUAUUGUCCAAUCAUCCCCGAAAAUAUACAGACCGUCGGAUUGCAAUAAUGUUUCUAAAUUAUAAUUAUUACCCAUAUAUCUUUUUUCGGGAAAAAACGAGCUCAAAUUCGGAAAUCAGAAUUAUUUUUGUAGACGUAUUGAAGUGAUAAAAUUUCCGUUGAACUUCAAUAUGAAUUUAUCCAUGGUUUUCGGAUUGAAUGGUCGUGUUUUUCGUAAAACUUUAUAUACCCUUUCAGAGCCACUAAAUGAAACCAGCGGGAUGACAUUUUGUGUAUGCGUGGCAUUAGUAGUAUCAAGAAUGUGCCUUUUGUAGGUUUAAUUCCCUCCCCGUAGUCUUUAACCAUUAUAUAUUGCCAUUACCUAUCGUAUUGUCAUAAAGUAUUCGGUUAUUCGGUUUGUUUUACAGAGAAUUUUUCUAUAACGUAAAAUAUAGACGGGUGAAAAUUCGAUUCCAGCGACGGAACUCUGUUGUUUAGGGAUGUUCAUUUUGUUCAAACUACACGACAUUAUUCCCCCCAUUUUUAUACCAGUAUGGUCCUAAAGAAAAGAAAAAAACGGCGCAGUAAAAGCAGUGCGUUACAUUUGACGUGUUAUUAUUAAAAAAAAAAAAAUGCCAACAACGUACAAAAGCUGUGUGUGUGUGUGUGUAUGUUUGUGUACGCGCGCGCCCACGAGUGUGUUUUGGAACGAUUCCAACGGUACAAAAGGACACCGCGCUAAAAGUUUUAAGGGAAAUAUUGGCAAGAAGUACCAGUUUCUCGACUUUACGCGAUAAGAUUGUUCUCGUCAAGUUUCUUUUUUUUCCUUAUAGCGGCCCACUCCCGCUGGACGAAACUCUGAAUUCAAUAAUAUUCAUCAAAUUCUAUAGGUGAGUAUAUAGGUAACUGUAAUAACUCUGCUCCGUACAUGUAUUCGGUUCGCGUUCCGGCAAUCGAAUCUUAGUAAUAAUAUUUUGCGACCGUCCGAAUGCAAUAUUCCAGGGACACCGACAAAAUAAUUUUUCCGAAUAAAUAUCGUCAGGUACCUACCUAGAAAAACAUCAUAAGUCGAUUUCAACAAAUUUUACAAAACUGUCGCGGUAAAAUCUGUUACUAGGAAAAGUACAAGAAAAAUCGAAAAUGAUAAAAUAACAAGAUAAAAUAAUUCUACAAGAAAGCUCAUGGGCAGAUUUUGAUUAGGACAAGAUUUCUGGUAGAAAAUUUUGCUUACGCGAUUCGCUCGGAAUCGUUUUUUUAUGAAUACAUAAUAUUAUGUGUUUCGAUAGUUUAUUUUUACAAUUUAUUUCGACGGUCUCUGCAGCGGGUUUUCUUGCGGCUAUCGCAUUGGGCCAGCUUCGAGGUCUUUUCGGACGACAUAAUUUCAUUUUACGGCCCGGUGUACGCUCGGUGAAACUUUAAAGUCGGUUACAAAAGUAAAAAAUGUGCUCGUUUUCGGCCGAUAGCAUGGCACGCGGGUACUACUCCAUUUAUUUAUGUUAUUUUUAAUAUAGCUUCUCAUUUGAAAAACCAAAGUUGGAACCACACCAGGAUACUCCUUGAAUGUUGUGAAAAGUCUAGGUAUUCGAAAAUAUCAGUUUUAACUGCAUUUACAAAUUCCAAAAAUCAGAAUUUGAAUAUAUGCAAAAUUUAACCGAUACAAAAUGGAGUGAGCACACUUAGUGUAUCAUCGUGUAUGUAUUUUAUAUUCGUAUGGCAUACUAAUGAACGGUAUCACUAAGUUAAAUUUCCCGACUAGAUACCAUAUAGAUCAAACUAUUAUUGCAAUAACUAACAUAAAUAAAUAUUCGAGGUUUAGGCGAUAUCACAAGUAUGACAACAAAUGAAAUUAAAUAUAAACCUAAUCCUAGGAAUCCAGCCAGGCCACUGUCGCGGGGGAUUCCAAUAUCCUCCAAAUCAGUGUUGUAUCCCUUAAGGGGGCAAUUCGAAAUUAGAUGUUACGUUGAAAAACAUUUCAGUGAUAUACAUUUGUUCAAAUUCGAUUUUCUAGUUUACAUCAGACAUCCUUAGUCGAGGUACUUGUUUUGUCUAACAUCUGUUUUUCCAACGGGCAUUUUGGCCAAAAACGAGUUUGCGUUAUGCAAACCACACGGAUCUUAAUAUCGGACAUUUAGUAAUAUUACUCGUAUAUGUAACUCCAGCUAUACAAUAAUUUGUAUAUGACAAUAGAUUUUAAUUUAACGCAGACUAACCUCGUCGGCAUUUUUUCGAAAUAUAUUAAAAACAUUUAAAAAAAAUAAAACCAACAAUAAUGUAAAAUACGAUUUUUUAUGUACCUUCGAUAACGAUGAGUAGAAUAUUUAGGUAGAUUUAAAACGCUGACAUGGGUUGUCUUCAGAAUGUUGUUACCGACAAAUUGUAUUAUAGGUGUUUUUAUUGUUAAAGUCGAUUUUAAAAGCAUUUUCAUUUGUUUUACGCGAAUGUGUUUUUGUAAUAUUGUGCGUUAGAAAUACAAACGACAAAUGCCAUUGUGACGGCCUCUUAAGGGGAUUCGAAACGGAACGAACAUUCUUCCGUCCUGCUUUGUCGCACAGAAAUUUAAACCAAUUUUCUGUCAAUCAGAGUUCUAAAAACCGAUUUGAAUUCAGCUUUUAGUGUAAAUGAGAUCGGCCAGGCCACUUUUACGUAUAUCAGUUCUUAAUUUCCAAAAAGAACGUCGAGUACUCGCCCAUAUUUGAUGUCACGCUAGUAAAAUAAUAAACCCGCGUGGGGUGCGAUGUUUUUCGCGGACUGGUGGAUUCAAUUCAGUAGACGAUUAAUCAUAGGUCGAUGAACAACAAUAUAGUAUCUUUAAUCCUGAUGUACAAUCUUCACGAUGAAUACGAAUCUAUUUUUAGAACUCGUAUCGGUGAACUGCGUCGGACAAAUCCUACGCCUGCCUACGUAUUAUAUAAUUGAAGCUUUUUAUACUCAAAUAAAAACCAAAUUCGUACAAAAAUUGUCUUCAAAUAUAAAUUUCAAAAAACAUAAAAAAAAUCGGUCAUACAUUUUGAUUAUAAUGACCGGUAAUAACGUGCUGCAAUUAAGUUAAUAGUUUUAACUGAAGGAAUAAACCGUUACCUACCCUAUGUCAAGUAUAUACAUACAUAAUAAUAUGUAAGUAAAAUAAAUUACUUUAAUACCUAGUUACCGACAAUUCGGGACCGGCGGAUAAGUGGAUUCACGGAAGUAGAGAUUUUUUUUUUUUGUAUAUAUAAAGAUCUCAUUUUAGUGAAAAUGUAUAUAGAUAGGUAUACGCGUAUAUAUAACGGGGGAGUUUUUUUUUACUACCGAAACCUUUUAGACCGCACGAGAGCCGUAUACGGAAAAAUGAAUUCGAUAACCCAGUAAGGGUAGGUACCUUACAAUAAGGUAUAUACAGAUCACUUUAGCUUAUAACGUUAUUUUCCUAUGGACGAGCAAAUUUUCCGUCGGUCUAUCCUUGCAACCAAAUAGUAUUAUGUUCUUAAAAUUACUUAAGGUAAUCGAUGUACGAAUAAAUAUAAUCAAAUUGAUCGAAUUAAAAUCGGUCGAAAAUAAAACUAUGAUGUUAUAUUAUAUACGUAGUCUUUUUCAAGUUUUAUUUAUUUAUUUAAUAAUUCAAACAGGAUGAACUCAAUAACAAUUUGUAUAGUUAUUACAAUUAUGGACUUAAAUCAAUUUAAAUGAUUGACAGUAACAGUAUAUAAGUGUAUAUAAAAAAAAAAAAUAAUACUUGCAAAACAAUCAAGAUAAAAAAUAAUUUAGAUAGCAAAAAAGAAAAAAUAUGUAAAGAGAGAAAAAAAAAAAAACACGAUUUAUAAAUAAUAAGUAAUAUAAUUACAAAAACAUUCAAAAGAAGAAAAAUUAAAUAAAUCUACAUGGACGUCAUUAGCUACUUUCAUUUAUGUGUAAAUAGAUGAACCAAGAGCAUAAUUAGUUUUCUGAAAAGGAAUGUAAAACUUAUUUGCAGAUCUAGUUCGACAAGGAGGGACAUUCAAAUUUAAGCAGCUGAGUAAUUCGGGACAAUUUAAAUACCCAUUAACUAUUUUUUAUAGAAACUUCAAAUCAAUGAUUUUUCCCCUAUCAGCUAGACUAGUCAGAUUUCUUCGUAAUUCAAUUAAUAAUGGAGUAUAAUUAGAGUGUGGUUGACGGGGGAUAUUACAUUUGUACGAAAUAAAUCGAAGAAAUCGAUUUUGAAUAGCUUCAAAGCCUUGUAUAUGGACAGCACUAGACCAUACGACUGAAUUGUAUUCUAUAAUAGAGCGCACCAGAGAAGAAUAGAGAAAUUUGAAUGCAUCGGAAUUAGUAAAAUCCUUACAAGACCUAUAUGAAUCCUAAUUUAGUAGACGUUUAUGUAAUAAUGUACAACGUAUGAAGACAAACCUACGAAAGUUGAUAAUAUUAUACACGAUAUGCUUAUACGAAAUAACAUUAGUUUUUUUUUUUUCGUACGGUGAAUUAAAAUAACGUUUCAAUGGUGUACAGCCGCACCUACAGGUAUACAUAUCUAAUUUAAAAUAUGUUUAGUAUAAUAUUUCAAUUAAAAUGUCUAUGGAAAUCCCUAACGAAAAAUGCAAAACACAUUAACAUUAAAUGCAAAUGCUGCGUACAUUUUUUUAUUUUUUUUUUCUCUGCCAUCUUAAUACGGAUUCUAUUUAUCUACCUACAAACUACGUACUUAUAUCAAUGUUCAUAAUUUUCGCAUUGUUAAUUAAUUGAUACGCAAAAUAGGACGGACAUACUUUGCGCUUGGGUGCAACCUCUGUUGUUGGUGGGAAUUUGGGAAGGUAGGGUACAGACGGGAAUUUAACGUAUAUCCGUGUAAGCAACGAUAAACUAUUGAUAACGAAAAAACGAUUCCGAACGGAGUUUAGUUGAUAGUGUUGCUAUGUCCACUAUAUAUACAUAUAUGUCAUAUUAUUGUAAAAUGAUUACAACAGUUUUCGUUUCCAUGACAACAAUGAUUGUUUUAAAAAACAUUAAAAUAAUAACAACUGAAUAACAAAAAAUAAAGACGAUUGUCAGUGACAACCUUAUUUUCAAUCUUUUAAUCUUUUUUAACCUAAAGAACCAGGUUUUCCUCAUUAUCUCGAAUAUUGAUGAAAAUUUGAAAAAAAAGACCUCUUGAGCAUUUUCUUUCAGAAAAGAUGCGAUACUUGAUAAUCGGAGUAAGCUUUCUGGCAGAUAAAGUGUUCACAUAGAAAAAAAAAACAUCAUUGUAAAACCAAUACAUUCCUUGCUCCGCUCAUAAUCUAAAAAUGGAUAAAGGAAGUUUAGCUGUUUAAAUUGAAAUUGUAUUUUUGGACGUAAAUAAUAAAAUUAUCAUUUUACAAAAUUAAUUAUUAGCCGAUGGAGUUGUUGAAAAUUAAAACAAAAUUGAAAUUCGUAUCUUAAAAAAAAAAAACAGUUAAACAGAUUGUAUUUAAUCUUAAUAAUCGUAUGUUACUGCGAUUUUAUAUUUAGAAAUAUGCUUCAAUGUAAUCGCUAUCGAUGAUACAUUAUAUAAUUUUAGUUUUUGUGUAUAGAAAUAAGUUACAGAUCGAAAUUUAAAAAAUAAUAAUUUUUGUUAAUUUAUAUUUAUAGUUACACGGAUUGUCUAAUCAAAAUAUAAACUGUAAACAAAAGAAAAAUUUAUAAUAUUAUAAAGAUUAUAAUAAUGUACAUUUCAGUAAUACUUACUGAUUUAAUAAAUAGUGAUACCAUUUUAGAACUGUAUAAGUUUGGUUUUUUCUAAGUAGAUAAACAAGUAGGUAUUUAGUAUGUUGCCAUUUUUAUAUAUUGAACAUUUAGUUUUGGUUUAUUUAUUUUAGCCAGAAAAUAAUUUUGGGAGAAGAGAGGAGUUAUGGCCUUCCUAUACACCUAUUUCCUCCUUCUGAGAUGCCACUGCAUUUUAUAUUAUUAUAACCGUAAAUAUACGUACGUUCUUGUAGUCCGUCUGACCGGAUGUGGUUCGCUCUCUGCAGUUUCGAUAUCUCGGGUCAAGCCUUUAUUUGCGUUCACGGUCACGUCUCGUUAGAACAAUAUUAUUAUUUCCCCUCGAUUUUCUCCACUCGUCACUAUAUAUACCCAGCACCCGUUCCCUUAUCCUUGAGCACUAAAAAGCUCAAAGUGUAACAAUCAUUACCGAAAACACACACGCAAGGUGUGUAUAGGUAAUCCCUCUUGUAAACCUCCAAGACGCAUAUGGUGUUCUCGUUCGUUUUCAAGUGUAUUUACACAACACUAUACACAGCUGUGGUGCUUUCGGGCGCGCUCUAAAUCCAAAACCAAUUCUCUACCCCUUACAUUAUUCGCUUAUAUAGGUGAUCCAAAUAGGGCGUGUGUGUGUGUGUGUGUAUGUGUGUGUGUGUCAACUUACUCUUUGUUUUGUAAUCGAUUCUAUACGGCUAAAAAGCGAUUUCAUUUCGAUAAUACUCAUUAAUUUCAUUAUAAACUUUAAAAUAUAUUCCGUUUGCAGAGCGCUUAUUUAAAUCUUGUCAAUGCGCAUUAUUUAUUUGCCGGAAAUAUUUCGCCAUUAAUUAUACCUGCUUUUCAAAUAUUUUAUAUAAUUAUAUGCAUAUUAUUAUAGAUUUAGAGAUUGAAAAAAAGAAAAUGCAGCAGAGUAAACGUUGAUUAACGAAUACAAUGAUUUGUGUUGCACUUUUUCUUUUAAUACUAAAUCAAAUCAUUUAAUUUUAGUAGUUUUAGAAUCUGAGUGUAGCGAAGAAUGUAUUUGUUUCUUUGUUUCACUAAUAUGUUUAUUUUUUUUUUAAAUUUUUUUUUUAUGCUAUGUACAAAAAUUCUACAAGAAAUCUUGUUCAGAUAUAUACACACGGCACCAUUUCAGAAAGGUAAUGUUGUCCAGAUGGUACUUUUUGGAGGUAAUUUUUUUUAUUUUCCAAGCGAUUUUCAUAAUACCUGGGAAUAACCAGAAUAAAAGUCAAGAAAAACGGGAAAUUAUUACGAAAAUAAUGCUUUUGUUAUUUUUCAAUUUUGUUAUUUGUUGUAAUUCAGUUAAAAAUAUUCGUAGAGAAUUGAAAUUUGGACAAAAAUACAUAUUUGCCUUUUCUAGAAAUGGUAAAAUUUUCAAAAAAUUUAAUCCAUUUUUAGCUAUUUAUAGACAUAUUAAUUUUGUGAGUUUUGAACGUAAUUUUUAUACGGUAGCUACUCUGUAGUAAAAUUGUUAAACUUAACAGAAAUGAUUCAAAAUUUAACAGGAGGUUCAUUAUGAGCCUUUAUCUGUAGUCAAAAAAAAAAAAAAAAUUGAGUAAUGUAGUAUUUUUUUUUAUAAGGGAAUUUUAAUAUCAAAUUUUAACGGAAAUUGUUUGAGUAAAAAAUUAUGUGGAACAAAUCUAAUUUUUCAAUUUUUUUUUUUUUGAACAUAUCUAUAUGUAUAUUACCGAUUUAAUAACGAUGGUGAAGUCAGAAUUAAGCGGACCUACUAAGUUUCGAUAUUGUAGCUUUUUGAAAUUCUGAUAGUAUGCGUACAUUAUAUGUUAUGUUAAAUAACUCUGUAUUAUCUAUGUAAAAACAUAUUUUUCGUGAUGUAUGCUAUGGUUAUUUAUGCUUAAUCCUAGGGGUUCAGAGUUCGAAUCAGUGUGUCGAAUAAAUAUUGUUUCCAUAUUUUUCCCUUUAUACUUAAAUAAGGAAAAACAAAUGCAUUUUGGGUAUACCCAAGCCAUCGCUCGCUCGGACAAUUUUAAUCGUAAAAUACUCUUCGAUUUGUUGUGCAAACUUUUCUACCAGAAAUCUUGCUCCAAUACACCAAAUGUAGCUCAUUUUCCGAAAAAAAAUAUUAUCUCCAUGGUAAUUUAGGGAGGUUAUUUUUUGAUUUUUCAAGCGGUUUUUAUAAUAUAUAGGAAAAGCUGGGAUAAAAUAUAGGGAAAACGAAAAAUAUACGAAAUGUAGGUAUUAGUUGAAAAAUAUUUCGGCCUUCUUUUUUCCUUUGAACAACUUUUCUACAUGCAAUUUUGCUUUGAUUUACAAUAAUAGCACUUUUUCUGAGAGGAAAUCGGAUGGGGAAGGUAUUUUAAGAAAGUCAUUUUUCAGUUUUUCAAGAGUUUUCCCAGCAAAUGUGAAAAACCGGGAAAAAACAAAGGAAAACCAGAAAAAAUGUAAAAAUUGGUACAAUAUUAAACAAAUAUUAUUCAAAUAAAUAUAUAAUGCCUAUUUUAUUAUUUUACCAUAAUAUAACAUAAUAUAUAUUGUUGACAACGUAUCACUAUCAACUGAACUGCUCUCAGUCGUAUUUUCGUUAGCAAUGGUUUAUCGUAACUUACAGAUACUCGUACAUUAAAUUACCUAUAACAGUGGCUGCACUCGUAUCCAUUAUCCUAAGACGUCUUUUUUUUAAAAAUUGUAUUUUCAAUACAUACAGUUUAUAAAUACAUUUUUACAAUGAGGAUGUUUGAGGGUAAAAAUUUGUAUUGGCUUGAUUGACCUGAUGAAGCAAUCGCCCAGUGAUAACACUUACUGACUACAGAGGAUUAGUUUUAUUUUAUGUCACGGUUCCAGUUUCUCUUUAACCUUUUAGGUGAGUUUCCUGGGAUAGAUUUAGAGUAAAGAGCAAAGAUUAUUAAAUUUGAGUGGUUUGCAAGACGGGCACGGAAUAAUUGGUAGGAGAUUUUGGAUGCUUAUUAAAUGAUAUGAAUUUUUAAGUCCGAAUGUAAGGUAUGAUUUGAAACAUGAUGUGGAACACAUGUAAUCAUUCGUAAUUAGGUAGAUUGGAAUUUCAGUAGUAAUUUGUUUUUUUAAUGUUAUACAAAUGUAUCCGUAAACAAUAAUAUAUCGAUAAAUUGUGUUCAAUAAAUGUGUUUAAUGUGUCAUUAGCGCCCAUGAAGUAACAAAUAUUCCACUAUGUCACCGUAAAAUAUAAAGUGGAAUGACAGUAAAAAUUAUAUGAUGGUAAACUUAAUUUAGAUAGAAACUUCUGUGAAAAUGUAAAGAUAGUAUAUGUUCACAUGCGUAGGUAGUUAAACCAUUACUAUCACGAUAGUAACUAUCAAAUGUCACACAUGCUUUGAUUAUAUAUGAUAAUUGUUUUCAGAAUAGUUCAAAGGUUCAAACGACGAUAGUUACACGAUGUAACUCGUUUUACGGUAAAAUACUACGCUACACCGACCAUUUUUUGACAAGCCAUAUUAUGAUUUAUCAUAUUAUUAUUCGUGUAAUCAAAAUAUACGGCCAUUCUUAAAUGAGUGGUAUAAUAAUCAUGGAGUUCGAUUAUGAUAAUAUUUUCGUAAUGUAUUCAUAUAAUGUUUAAACAAAGUGGAUAUACAUUAUACAUGGAUUUUUUUUUUUGAUUAUUUGGUCCGUAGACUUCUGAGAUUUAAAUUUACAUAAAUAUUACAUCACAGCUAUAAGAAAAUUAUUUUAUAAAUUGCUUUAUUUAUGAUGGUUACUUUAUAAAAUCGGAUUAUUAUAGGUAAUCGUUUUCGUUAACAAAGAUGAAAAUAAUAUGUAACGGCUUUGUGAAUUUUUUUUUCUAGUUAAACUGUGGACAUUUUUAAAUUACAAGAAAUGUAUACACCUUUCAGUGUUUUCUGGUCUUCAACUAGUUCUCGGGUUUGUAUUUUAUCUAGGUAUUUAAUUAGUAAAUAUUAGGUUUAAGUUUUUUAUUUAUUUUUAUAAUUGGUGGUUUUAAACAUCAAUGUUUAGUUAGUUGUCGAAAUUUUAAACAUAAUAUUUAUUUAGCAAUCUGCAGUAUAUAGUCAAAUCUAAGUUGCAUAGGCACACCCUAUGUAAAAAUAACAAUUUAUUGAAGUAAAUACAAGUUGAAAACUUUCUCGACCGCGAGUUUUUGUAUUUAUUCAUAACUGUUUUCAUUUGCUUUUUUCGGUGAUAGAAAUUUUAUAUUGUUUUACUUUUUUUAUAUGUAUAACUUAUGCAAAGUAACCAGUAGAAUAUUAAUUAAAUGAUCUUAACAAUAAUAUUUAUUUAAGAUAAAUGUUAAACAAUAACCAAAAAAAAUCAAUAUUUCUGUUCCCAUUUCUGGUAUUUUAAAGUUUCUAAGAGAACUCUUGUCUGUUCUUUGAUAGGUAUUUUAUAAGAGUUUUUUUUUUUUUAAUACACACCAAUUACAUAUUUUUUUUCAGAGUAUACUCGUCUUAUAAACAAUACGUUUAUAAGAAUAAAAAUUAAACAUUUAAAAGUAAAUAGUGUAAAUUUGUUCUGAAUACAGUGCAGUAGGACGCAACAUAAAAAACAUGAAUUUGGCUUCUUUUUAGUUUUUAUUUUUCUUAGUUAUUGGUAUCUUUUUAUUUUUUAAUAUUUUAAACAUAUUAAUAUGUUUUAAUUUAAUUGAAUUUAACUAAAUCCAAUUCAUUAAAUUGUAUUCUUCUAACGGCAUAGGUAAAUUAUUUCAUUAUUUAAGCACCGCUCGUCAAAUAUUCAAGGCAUUUAUCCGUUUAAUAACAGUCAUUUCGGUCUAUAAUAAUACAACGUCAAUAAAGUUUUGGAUCAAAUUUUUUACAUCAAUAAUUUUUUCAUAAUAUAUCAAUGAUUUAUCAUCAACUACUCAGACAACACUGAGUUUAGUCAGAAUAAGCAAAAGAAAAGUAUAAACAAACGUAGAGUCAGCUAGAGUAGAACAGGAAAUAAAGUUUCAUAGAAAGAACAUGAAAUAUUCUCCGAUAAAGUUUUCAUCCAUCGUAAAUAGUGACAAAUCGUACAAAGACGUUUCGUUUAAUUUCAGUAUCUUAUAGUAUCUUCAGUAUACUUUCAGUCUUCGUUUAUUAGUAUCUUCUUAAAAAAAAAUUUUGUCUGAAUGGUACUUUAGGGAAGCUUUUUUUGGAUUUUCCAAUCUGUUUUCAUAAGAUCUGGGAAAAACUGUGAAAAAAAUGAAAGAAAAAUUGAAAACUGUUUGUGAAUGUAUAAAAGAAACUUUGCUCCGAAUCGUUUUUCGUUAGCAAUGGUUUAUCAUUGCGUACAGAUAUAUAUUAAAUUCCUCUUGUAUCCUACCUUUCCAACUUCUCACUUACAACAGUGACUCACUCGUCGUGCGAAGUAGAUCCUCUUUUUCAUUAUGAAUUUAUCAAAAUAAAUAUUCGAUUUUCUAAAUUUAUCAUAGUCGAAAUCUGAAAUAUCUUAGGUUUAUCACAUUUGCAUCAAGACUGAAAACUUAUGAUUCAUAAAAAUAUAUACUCCAUACUAUCGAAACAAAUUUCCAUUAUGUGAGGGUCGGUUUCAAAUUUCUGGACAUUGGAGAUUGUGUAUAAUUUUUUAAUUGUGGUUUAAUUCUAAGCGAUUGAACAAUUCUUGAAAGGAACAUUUAUUCCAUUCACUAAAAUGUACAGUAUUGACACUAUUGGGUUAUUAUAAAAAGGUAACCAAUGCAUAGAUUCUGGUAUUUAUUAAAACAGAUAGAUGUGCGCUAUUUCGGUUAUAAUCACAUAAGUUAUGAUGUAUGAUAAUUAAAAAUUUACUAUGUAAAUAUCUUAGUUUAAUAUCAAUCAGUGAGUAAAAGAAAUAACACUACUAUAGUGUUAGCAUUUGACCUGAAAAAAUUUGAUUACCUACUUACGUAUAUUAAAAAUGAUCAAAUAAUUUAAAACUUUUUUGGUUGUGAAGCAAAAACUGAAAAUUUAAAAUUUAUCUAUGUUUUUCUUUUUCUAUUUAUAUUCACAAAAUAUAAAAAUUAUCUUACAGCGAAUAAAUUUAAAUACCCGCCCAUGUAUGGUAAAAAUGAUUAAGUAAUUUAAAACUUUCUAGAUUGAGAAAUAAAAUUAUAAAACUCAUUAUAUUUGGUAAAAAUAUUUACAUAAUUUUCUCAUUGACUUGUUACUAAAUAACUUUAAAAAGAUGUCUAUUUUUUCCUGCUACUAAUAGAUAGAUUGUUUGAUGUUUAAAGCACAACUGAUUAGUUUUCUCCCUAUAAACUUGAACGGUAGUCGUGUCUUAUUAUUACGUAACCAAAGUAAUAUCAUCGAAUGGUUGGAGUGCGUCAUUCAUUCUACUGAAUAACAAAAAUAGUACAAGGUAAUAUACUCGGGAUCACGUUACACUGUCUGAUAGAGCGAAAAAAUGUAUCUAGUGAUGUGGGUGUCUGAUCCUUCGAUCAGGCUACUUUAAAUAGCAGAAUUGACCUAUGAAUUGGGUACGUUUUUUUCCGUAACACAAAUUUACACUUUGGUUAACGCAAUCUAUUUUCCAUGGUCCAUGUUCUUUCCAAAAAUUGUCUAUAAUUGUCAAAUCGCUUAGUGUUUGAACCGGGGGCGUCUAAUUUAAGCACGCUUCACCCGGACAUCUAAUACUCGUACUUCGCGUACACCACGGUCACGCUCAAUCGGCCUGACCGACUGACUAUGUGUAAAUAUUAAUGUAAUUUUGGUAUGUGUAGCUCGGUCAGAAGUGGUUGGGAACGCCGCGCAAAUUCUGACGAGUUAUGUGGUUAAAGUGACGAGUUGAAGUGUUUUCCGAGAAAAAAACAAGUCUCAGUAAAACUGAUAACUUUUCCUUUCACUCAGAAUUAAAAGAAAAAAAAAAGGUACAAAACAUUUUUUUUUGAAUAUUAUUCACUACCACUACACUAUAAUAAUAAUAAUAGUAAUAAAAUUAUAGGCCUUUUUGUAGUUAUCGUCAUUUUUUUCAUGUUACGCAGAAACAUUAGACCGUGCACCUUUUUACGUAAUGCCUACUAUAUAAUAAAAUUGUAUAUAUAGAAUUUAAUUUUAUAUAUUCGUAUAAAAACACUACCCCGAGAUAUUAUACUUAGCAGGUAUAUAUUUUGGAAUACAGUGUACACGGGGAUUUAAUUAAAUUAACUGCGAGAAGUGCGGAGUUUAAAACCCAACGGUCCAUAAACGUGUCCUGCUCGCCUUAUGCAUAUAUUAAUCAAUAAGCGCAAAUAAUACUUAACGCCGUGCUGACUUUCGGUUUUAACAUUAUUAUUAUUAUUAUGACUCGGAAAACGACCCAUUAUGUUUAAGUGUAUAUAUAUAUAAACACACCCGACAUCAUUAUGAUUACAAUGUUUUUAUAGGACAUUCUCAGUCGCCGUCGUUGUCCCCGUUUCUUUGCAGUAAAUGUCAUCCUAUAACUGUCCAAAUGACACGUAUAACCUUAUGCCGUCAAAAAAUAAAAUAAAAUAAUAUACCUAUAAUAUAACAGUACAACAGCGUGUGAUGUCUGUGUGCGAAAUGUUUUAAACUAUAUUAUUAUAUAUGAUAUUUUGAUCGUCCGUUAAAAUAAUAACAUGUACCUUAGGUGUACCUAUAUUAACACGUCUGUUGAGCGAUACAGGAAGCUUUCGGCUUCCAAAUACCAGACAACAUCUGAUAAACAAAUAUGGGGUGACACAACCUGAACGAAUCGUUCGGAGAAGGAUGGUAUACAUUUAAAACAAAUUUCUGAACAAGUUUUUUUUUCCGCGUAAACGUGAAGUAGGGAACACUAGUUUUUACCACGCCCAAAGACGGUUAUUCUUUACGUUUGAAUAACUGUAAUUGCUUUUUUUAGUCUCAUGAUAAAAUUAAUGCCAAGCGUAUAAGGUAUGUACAUUAACCUAAUCUAACCUAUAUUUUCUUUUAUUUGUAAAAUGUACCUAUAUAAUAUUACUUGAAAUAGCUGUUAUACUUAACAUAAUGGAAUAUUUAUGAUACCACUAAACAUUUUUUUCUGCCGAGCAAAUGAAUACUUAGGAAUUUAAUUACUUAUGCGUUUUUUACGAUUAUGUCGACGAGAUAUGAAUACCCAAAUUGGCAAUAUUUUAAAGAAUUCACAAAUAUUGUGUAUAAAAUAUACCGUGUCUGCUUGUUUUUGAUAAUUUUAUGGAUACAAUCUAUGGAUAGCGUUUAACAAAAGAAAUUGUAAACUUAAACAAUUUUAAAAAGGAAAAAAAACCAAAACGAUAGUUAAUACCAUUGAAAAUAAUUAUUGUAAGUUUUAACGCUAUUAUUAUCGAAUAUUUUGUAGAAGAUAUGCUAUAAUUCAUAUCUUUUUUUAUAUUAUAAUUACAGUUGUAUCGAUCAAACAUAUAAUAAUACGACGUACCGUAUAUCUUAACUCUUAAGUCUUAAGUAGAAAAUGGGAAAAUAAUUAGGAGGAAGUUAAAUUAACUGUAGAGUUUUUCCGCUAACAAAUUAUCAACGGUUUUUUUAAAAUUAAAUAGCGUUUUUAUCGUUCACGUACGACAUUUUUUCACGGCGAGUUUAUUUCGUGUUUUUUUACUUACCUUUAGCCGCCAUCUUCUCUAGUGUGACAAUACCGUGGGGUCUGAGAAAGUUGUUUAUAAUAAAAUAACCUCGGUCUGGCGCUGCGGAAUAUUAUUAUUUGUCACGGUCCACGAAGUUUGCUGACGGGUCAACGGUAAGUAAUUAUGUUAUUAAAUUGACGAAAAUAUUAUUUGGCACGUGGCUAUAUAGUAUAUAGGCGCGUGUCACUCGGUUAGUCGGAUGUGUCGACGUAUAAUAUUAUAACGGUGCGACUUGACUGUGUAUAAAAGAUUCCUCGAGGGCAUUUUUCAAGUAGGUUUUCUUUUGUUUGUUCGUUCUUCCCUCUUCCGUUUCACCCUAACCACGACCAUCAUUUUACCGUUGAUACAAUUCGCUACAACACACUCUAAUAAAGAAGGUUGGCAUCGGGAAUUAUACAAGAUGUGGUUGAUGUGCCCGGAUGACGCACACGAUAAAACCGAUUUCGCCGUGUUUGAUAUGUCUGCAGUUUAACAUCUCCCCCCUCAUCUCCGAGGCUUUUAUUUUUAAUAGCACGAUCUACCACUGUUUUUCACUGUAUAGUUAUACAAUUUACGUUUGUGCUGCUGUAAACUCGAGUGCCGAUUUCAAACGCAAAUCGUACACAGACAAUUGCGAUUUUUGCCAUACGAAUGCGGUUUCUUCGUUUCACAUUUAUUAAGGUAUAAUAUCAGGUAUCCGGCACAGACGUGGAUUGGAGAUAUUUUAAAAUCUGUAGUAGUUUAUGCAUUUUUUCACAGAAGACAUAUGUAUUAAUAGUGAAACGGCCUUAUAGUCUAAUACUUUAGUCUUUAGAUCCAACAAUUUUUGCGUUUGAACGGUUUUUCAUUAAUUUUUUACUACAUUCCCAUACUCUGCUUUAUGUUUGCUGGUAUCCAAAUAUUGUUGAAAACGACGUUUAUAGAUUGUACUGGUUACACAACUGCAAUAUGAAGUCUACUAGUAAAAAUAGCGUCGCUAAUUUCCCAGGAUUAUGGUCUAUGGCAAAUGCAUAGAGAACGUUCACUGAGCGAUCAAAGUGGGCAAUUUCGUUACUAGUAAUUGAGUAACAUGCUAAAAUAUCAAAAUUGUGCGAUUCCCACCGAUACUGGUCGUUCGUCGGAACACUUUGGUAUUCAGCAAUUGUUGGUAAAAUGAGAUCUCUGUUUAGAUCCAACUGAAAGUGCUUUUUCUACAUACAUUUACGUAGAUACUCAAGAAGAACAAAUUUUUCUUUAAUACAGUCGUGUGACCAGUAUAAUAUCAACGAACGGUAAUAUCUACAACCGUGUUGAACAUAUAUAAACUAUAAUUGGGACUAUGGGUAUGAUAGGACCUAAACUGUAAACGCUAUUUUCUUUCCAACUAUUCAUGUUGUUAUCUUUGUUUUUAAAUUUACUUCUCUUUUUCUGUCUCGGACUUCUCCUAUCUCUGUUAUCAGUCCAUUUCUGUGUAGAUCUUUGUGCACAGGCAAUUCAUCAUACUAUAAUAUUAUUCACUAAAAUAACAAUAAUAAUGAUAAUAUUUUAUCGCGUUGUCUUUCGAGUAGUCAGGUAAUUCGGAACAAAACGAUUCGGCGGUCGCGGCGUUUCGUAGUCCUGCCGCAGCUAGUAGAUAUACAUCAUUUUUUUAUUAUCAGCACAAUCCGUAUUGUCCGAGUCGAGAGUCGGAUCUAAAUCACCAACGUCACGUACACGAUGUCGAAUUACGAGCCGAGGAUAUUAUUAUACUCUGUAUAUUAUAUCCAUAUACGUACGAGCUUUAUAAAUCUGGUUGGAAAUCCCUUCAUGCAGCGCCUCCUUGUACCGCCGCCGUCGUCGUCAUAAGCCGUGCGCGCGCGUUCAUAUCAUGUCGGACAAAAAUAAUGCCCGUGCUCGUUUUAUAUACGGCCGGCCUUUCUUGCGGCAGCAUCGGGUAGUUCGGGAAAAAAGGUCGGCACGCGAAACUUAUGGGAGGGGGGACAUUUCGCGAGGAAAUAAUAUUAUUAUUAUUAUUAUUAUUAUUAUUGUAGAGAAAUCUCUCUCCCGCGACCGACUCUACGUUGUAGACUUUCGUAACCCGGCCGUGGCUCACGCGAAUAUUAUGUACGUGAGUAUGGUUAUGUUGUGUGCCAUCAUAUGAUAAUAUAUAUGUUAUUGUUAUAAAUUCGUGCGUAUAGGUACCAUCACGCUCGUGAAUAUAUUUAUGCGGCAUACGUUUUCGGUAUUAUAGGACACGCUGACGAAGUUUUCCGGCUCGGUUAAGCCUGCUGCAGCAGUACCAGCAGUGUAUAGCAGCUAGGCUAGCACAAAUCGUAUUCUGUGUACAAAAAAGGGAUGCGCGCCACUCCAACCACUCCGACCUACCCUCUCCACCCUCAUAAGGAUAAAAUUUAAUUUGUACGAUGCGUCGCCGGAACGCGGAUUAUAAACACAUUGCUCGAACUCGACCGACCGUCAAAUGAAACCGAUUCCCAAACGGGCGUUCGCGCGCGCAAAACGCAUAAUAUAUUAGACAAAGCGUACAUUAUACAACUAUUUUGUUUCGAAUAGUUUAAUUGAAUGGAUAUUAUUUUGUUGCGCGAAGACAAAAUAAAUAAAACACUUAGAAUAUUAUUGACAGGGAGACACGCGGGAAUAUUCGAAAUACCGCAGGCGCCUCAUCGUUCCAUACCGGAAAAUGGUAUGAAAAUGAUCCUAACACUUAUUUUUCAAUCCCGGUAUAACUCGUACAAAUACAAUAUAUGACGAAACUGACAAAAAGGUUUGUGCAUUUGUAUAGAGCCAAACGAGCAAAGUUAUAUUCACAUAAAUAGAAAAUGCGUACAAUAUAACACGAGCAAUGUAGCAGUAGUAGUAGUAUAGUACACAAAAUUGUAUUAUACAUUUACCGACAUUUUUUUUCCGGUUAACCCCCCCCUCUUUAUAACGAGAAAUUAAAAAAAACAAAAAUUAACUUUUUAAUGCAGUAAAUUGAUAACAUUUCCUACUAGAAGUUUAUGAGAUUGGAAAAAGAUAUCUGAUUGAAAAAAAAACACAUCAUAGUAAAACUUUGCCCAGAAUCUAAAAUAAAAUUUGCAACAUUCUUUUAGGAUUUCACUGAAGUUGUACGAAAAAGAAAUUGAAUGCUUCUGACAUAAUAUCGCACAAAAAUUCUCUUUCGCUGCACUAAUUUAUUAAAAAAAGAAAAGAGUUCUUAUAAUAUGUGUUCACAGAUUUCAAUUUCCAUACUAUAUUCAUGAUUUUACGAUCAUGAUCUGAGUAUAAUACAUAUUAUUAUUAUUAAUAUAAAAUUAACGUAUUUAAAAUAUUAAUAGAACCUUUAUAAAGAAAGCUUGAGCCUACAUGAUGCGUAGAAGGGCCGUGUUCGGAAAAUUUCCCGUAACUCGGUGAGCUCGUACGUGCUUGAUUAUAUAAUAAUUUUGUGUAUAGUAAUACAUAGGGUUAGAAACUUCUAGCAUUUGCAUAUAUUUUUUAAAAAGAUUAAUAAAAUACCUGAGUCAUACAGGAGUAUUGUUCAUGAUAUGAAGAAUCUAAAUCCUGAAUUUUAUUUUGUAUACGAGUGUAUUACAGUUUUUGAUUUUUAAAGCGUAUUUUAGCAGUAUGUAGCUUUUAAGUGCUAUAAAAGGUCAUAUACUUAUAUGUCAUAUUAUAUGCCACGUAUUGUAUACGUGUUUUUUGAUUUACACUGUUCAAAGACGAAUAAACAAUCGUAGAAAAGUUAUUUUUCGCGAUAAAGCUCGCAUUUCCCGGCCUUUGGAUAAAAUACAUUUAGAUUAAUAUUAUCUAUAUGGACAACAUUCCAUAAUUUUAUAAAAUCGUUGUUAGUCGACCGCUGUCUCUCGUAACUACUUGUUUACGUUGUGUAUAUAUAUUAUUAUAGACAUAGUUCAAUUUUAUUAUUUCGUGGUUUUUAACAUAAUAAUAUAUUGGUCCCUAUAAGACAAUUAAAUGGUGAUAACAAAAUUGCCAUUAUAUUUUUUAGAAAUAAAAACUACAGGUUUGCCGCAAUAAUUCACUAUGUUAUUCAAGUUGUAAAAUUUACACCGUCGUUUAAUGUUAAAACAAAACAAAACAACAAAAAAAAAAAAACCUUGUUAAAAAAGUAUGGAGGUAUAUUCAUUUUGUUUAGAAAUGUUGUGUUUAAAACAAAACGAAACAAAAAAAAAAACCGUUUAGUUUUCGUCGUGUUGUUUUGUAUCCCAAAGAAGAGAGCGAAAAAAUGCAUCCUAACUUCAAACGUUUUCGUCGUUUUGUCGACGUGACAAAUGGCGUUUGUUUGCCCCUAGGAAAAAAAAAACAACCUCCAAACGAUUACUAACGGCCAAAAGUUGCACUACCACAUUGGGUCGAAUUUGUCCACAGGAUUUAUAAAGAAUGGUAUAUAAACUGCUGUUAAAACACGACCCGAGGGGGAUUCUUGCCCGUCUCUACGACUCGAGAGUUGGCCACAAUAAACACGUCGGGAACACCCAAGUUUCUGGAUGCUAAUUGCAAAAACUAUAAAGAAUUACUUUAGUAAAGUUUUAAGAGCUUAUUUCGGGCCGGAGUUCAAUGAAGUAUGAAUUAUUAUGGUUUGCAUUGUUCAUAUUAUUUUGGAAGCACGCUAUUAUUAUUAAUUUAUUAAUGUUAUUAUUUGUGUAUAAUAUUAUUAAUAUUAUUAAUUAUAAUUAACCAUACUGUAAUUAUUAAAGAAUAUUUUAAAUAAUCGUAAUCAUAACUAGGCAAUAAUGCAUUGCUCACUUAUGGGUACUCAAUUUAUAAAAAAAAAGUAUAUCUAUUAAGAGAAAGGUGUAUCUUGUCUGCUAAUCUAAAUAAUACAGUAUGGCAUUAUGUUUCUUCUUCGAUUUUACUUAUAAUUUAAUUUGACUUGAUAUAAAAAUACGACUGAUAUGAGUCUAGAUAGUAAUGACGGAAAAAAACCACGGAGAAAAUCAUAUAUUUAAAAAAAAUUAAUUUAAUUAAAUUGUUUCGCAUUUGGUUAUAUUUGUAUUUGGUCGUAUUUUCCUCUAACCAUUUUUAAUUUUACCAUUAUUACUGACUACUUUAUACAUAUAUAUAUAUGUAUAGCACUAUAAUGUAUUAAUUUAAUUAAUUAAUUAAUUAAUCGAUCGUAUCAUCAUAAUUCUCUCCGAAAAAAAUGGUGGACAAUGACGUCGUCAACUCUUAUAACUAUAUUACAAAUUCAGUAUGUUAUAUGUGUGAGUCUAGCUUGGUUUCCGAUACUAUUUCAUAGUUCACGUCAUAAACAAAAUAUAAUAAUUUUAUUGGAUAGUCAAUGAAAUUUAUUAUCUAAGUAUAAUAAUAUGACUAUCAACCUUCAUAUUAUAAGGGAUUUAUAAAAGAACGAAUGUGCCACUAUUUUAGAUACUAUAUGCAUAACGAAGUAUCUAUUCGUUAAACUAUUAUGAUGUGUGUGUGUGUAUUUUUUUUUCUGUUUAUAAACCACUUUUCUACCAGAAAUCCUGCUCUAAUUGAAAAAUGACAAUGUAACUUUUCUGUUAUAUUUUAAAUCGAGUUGACGCCUAAAGAUUUUUUUGAUUUUCUUAGAAGAUUUUACAAUAAUUGGGAAUUACAGAGAAAAAAUAGUAAAAAGAAAACUAACAAAUUUACGUCACGAAAGUAGUAAUUUGUAGUUUUAAGAUUAUAUUUUGAUGAAAUUCCUAAAUAUUACGAUGUUUCAAAAGUUGUACAGCCGGACUUUGCUCAAAAUUGUUGUUGGUUAGCAAUGGUUUAUCGUUCUAUACAAAUAAAAAUUAAAUAACCUUAUGUAUUUUUACCAUCCCAACUUCCUACCCAAAACAGCGGUGUGUCAAUUUUUUAAAUUUUAUUUUACCUUUACAUCUCUUGACUCCGGUACUCCAUCAUACAAUUGGCUAUCUAGUUGUUUUAUAUUUAUAACUUUAUCAUAAUUGUAUAACAUUAUUGUAGAAUUAUCACAGACUACACAGUGUACAAUUAGUAUUACAACGUUCUACAUACCUAUACAAUAUUAUUAUUAUCAUCGUAUAAACCGACCGCGAGAUCGAUUUAAGUAUAACUUAAUAACUUUGGGCAAUAAAAAAUAAAAAAAAAAAAAUAGAGAGAACGCGAGAGAACGCGUCAAGCAUUACUCACAAGUCCGCGUAGCACUUUACAUAAUAAUAUAGCGUGACAUUUAAAUUAUUAUUUUUUCGUUAGUGCGGUGGCGGUCGACUCGCAAUCGUAAUUAGGUAGCUUAUAUUCAUUUGUCUAAACUUUUAGACCGUACCCACACGGUGGUGCGCGUGCGUUAUUUUCUCAGCAAACUGUAAACAUUUAUUUAAAUCCAGUGUAAUAUACAUCGUGUAAUAACUUUAGAAUACCAGUACAAACCGCGGUAACCCAGAUCUGUAAUAAUAUAUCGCGUUAAAUUAUUAUAAUAUAAUGCGAUAUAAUAACGAUGCGAUAUUGUUCAUAAGUUCGUAUUAUAAUUUGUUAGAAACAUCAAGCCUUUAACGUUAUUGUUCAUUAUUAUUAUUUGUUUUUUUAUUUUAUUUUUUUACCUCCAUCACUCUAUACGAUAAAUUCUAAUUAUUUUAAUAACCACAUAAAUUCAAAUUAUUUCCUAAAAGUCACAGGUAUAAAACAUAAAGGGGUAGGUACGGUCUGCAGAGGUAAAAAGGCAUUAUUUAAUUACCGAAAUAUCGUGUUUACUCGAUAACGUUAUUAUUUCAUUUUUUUUCUUCUCAGAAAAUGUUUGAAAGCGUUGUAAAAGUGUUAUUUUUAAGUUUAUUUCGAAAAAUAAAUACAUGUGUAUAGUGUAGAUGAUAUGAUAUAUAAGUAAAUAGACCGUUUCCGGGUCUUCGGUCCAUCGGUUCUUUGGUAAAAACUGUUAGGAAUCCAGACACAUCAAAGUUCUUCUCUAAAAUACGUGUUCUGAAAUGUUGGUAGCAAUACCUACUUAAAAUACGCGGAAAGAAUAUAAAUCUCGAGUAAACGACCGUUUUAAGUUAAUAUGAAUUACGGUUUGAUAAAUUAUUUUCUUUUUUGCUAAUGUUUCGUAGUAAUUGCCUAUACGUCACCUCUUUAAUUAUUAUGUGUGCACGUCUAUACAAUUAAUAAUAUAUUUUAUGUAUUUCGAUUUGGAGUGCAUUUAAUACUUACUUUUGAUAUUGUUUUGGUACAAAAGAUAGACUUGUAAUUUAUUUAUACUUAAACAUAAACUAUAAAGUUAUAAGGAAAUAUUUUAGUUAAGUGUUUUGGAGAAAGUUUCCAAAAUGUACUCCAAAUUUGUGAAAUUUAAAAAUUAUUUUUUACCUUUUCAUGACCACCGUGUAAUAAUUGUACUUUUUCAAUUAUCCACUGUCCGAUAUCUAUUUAAGGGGAAUAAGUAUGGUCAUCUUUAAGGACGAAUAUUAUAUUGUUUCUGUAUAAUACCUAUAUUUUAGCAAAUAUGCAUAGCUGAUAAAUUGUUUAGGUUAUUAAAGUAGUCGAAUUUUCGAUUUAAAAUUUGGCGUAUUCAAAACAAUGUAAUGUAAUUAUUUUACGGAAUUUUCAAUUAUUAUAUAACAAUGAAAAUUGAAAAUCAAAUUGCUAUAGGUAUAACCUUUUGUUUACAGAACAUUUUUCAAAAAUUGUAUACCUACUUUAAAAAUUCAAAUUUUUCACUGAUAAAUAUGUUUAAAACUCAUGAAAAAUAAGCAUGUUCCAAUCACCUUAAUAUAAUAACGAACUUUCAUCGGGAUUAUAAAAAACAACGUUUAUACAUAAUUUUUCAUUAAGUCCGCGGUAAAUAUUUUAGACGCUAGUUUGUAACACAAACAUCUUUUAAUAAUUGCGAAUUCUUUCGUUAUAUAUUAUGAUGAUACAUAUAAUAUAACUGCAUUCAAAUUUCCAAUUACAUAAAUUUUGUUAAUGGUUUUCAUUUUUUUUUUUUUUUUUUUAAUAAAAUUAUUUUUCUUUGUUUCAGAAUCAAAAAAUAAAUCAAGAUUCAAUAAAAGUAAGCAUAUACAACAUUUCCAUUCGAAAAAGAAUAAUAUCUCGUAAAAUAUAUUUUAUAACAUCCCGUGAAAUGAACGGCUUUAGCCUCGUGAUCGAUAUUAUUCAAAUGUAAUAUUAUACAGGUACAUUUUUCUCACGAUAAUAUUAUUAUAUUCGUGUCGGACGCGGGGUAAAAUAUUGUGUUCUCUCGAUUCAUACAACUUAUAAUCUUACGGCGCACGAGAAACUGUUUCUGACACUAGCAGACGUGUGUAGGCACGAGUCUUGUAAUACUGUUAUUAUGUAUACGGCGAGGGUCAUUUUUGUGAAGCGUUCAAUAAUAACGUCGAGAGACGAGAAUAUCAAAAGGUAUCGUUUCUAUCGGGAAACGCGGCGACAGUAUAUAGUCGUACAUUAUUAUUAUGUCGUUUUGCUCACAUCCGAAUACAAAUCACCCCGUGAAAUACGAGGGAGGUGUAGGAGAAUCUCUAAUGCGCCUACUUCGUGCUCUUUCGUUAACUCUCAUUCUCCUUUAUGACGUGUACAUUGCAAAGACAGCUUUUUUUUUUAUAUAUAUAUACGGAGGGUUAUAGUCUUCGUAUAGUCGCCGCGUGCCAAAACCGAGUAUUAUCUUUUUUAUUUUUUUUUUUUUUACGAAACGUAUACAAAAGAGAAGAAAAAAAAAAUCUGUAUACAGGAACGGUAUGUGUCCAGACCGUAUAAUCGCCGGCGGCGCAGACGGCUGCUGGUAUAAUAUUAUUGAUCGUCUGGUUAUAAGCCUGUUGCCUCGGACGAGGCGACGACGGCGGAGCACUGCCAAGCUCCCGCCAAAUUCGGUUUUAUUGUCUGCGUGUCUCCGUUUUAGUCUGUACGUAGGUGGGUUGAGACGUGUGUAUGUGUAUAAUAUAAUUUAUACUUUACGCAGUUUAUACCUGUAUUAUGUCGAUAUUGCCGAUAAACAGGGGAACGAAUUGAAUGAAGGGGUCGCGAAUAUACUCGGGGUUCUAAGUUCUAACGGGGGUAGGUAUACGAUCUUAUAUAUUAUAUUUGCUUCUAUGCGCUCGCGGUCGUUUCCUAUAUACACACGUUGGUUAAUUAAUGUUGUACCAACAGCGGGAAGCCUUAUUAAAGUAUACACUCGUAUAUUAUUAUGGACUCGUGUAACGUUUUUAUUGACUUCAUUCGUAAAUCAAUAAUACAAUAAUAUAGUAUAGGCAGUAUUAUGUAACGUGCAAUAUAGUAUCAUAGGUAGUAUUCUAUGUAGGCAUCUUUCAGUAGUGAAAGAAGUACCUAGGUAGGUAAUUAGAAACGUAGUUAACACGCAAAUCGUAAAAUAGUGUACAUACAUAAAUACGGUCCAUAGCCCCUAUAUCCCACUCCGCCCACCCUGGCAAUGCCACUGCAGUUUAUGUAUAUUUUAUCACUAGAGCAAAUGGACUACAAUAGUUAACUUAAAAUUAUCUCUUUCUCUCUUCUUCAGCUGGUCGGUCCAUUAAGAUCCAUUACAGCUAUCACGAGUCCUCUCCAUCUUUUUUCUGUCGUAUUCCACAUUCAAACUUGUUUUGUCUUUUAUAUUUUGGUCAACAACGUCAAUUCAGCGGGUCUUAGGACUUCUUAUUGGUCGGCCUUUGUUAAUUUUGUUAAUCAGAACUUUUUUUUAUUAAUUGAUCAUCUGCUCUUCAAACAUGUCUAAACUAUUCUAAAUGUUUGCUUUUUAUAAACGAUAGAAUAUUUGGUUGUUAUAUAGCCUCUGCGAGUUCUGAUUUUUCCUUCUUUCGUAUAUCUAAGACUGUAUUACAGCUUGGGCUAUAUUUAUUUCUUAGUACUUUCUUUUUGUGGGUAAUUGGACGUCUGCUGUCUCUUUUGCUCAGUGACCAGGUUUCGCUCGCAUAUGUUAUCGAAAUUCUUAGAUAAUUAUGUUAAAGGAGUACUUUUAAAUUGCGUGAUAGUAUCUUCGGUUUUAGUAGUUUCAUAAAACUAUGGUAACACCGUUUAGGUUGUUGUUAUUUAUAUUAACGCCUAUAGGUACCUAAAUACAUCCAUUUUUCCAAACCUAUAGGUGUCAACUGCUGUGUAGUCUAUGUUUUAAAUUCUUCUUGCUACCAUUAAAUACACACACAAACCGAUGACCUUACUUUCCUUUAGAAGUUUGGUUGUUGUAUUUACAACUUCAUUUCUCGUCUCUUCCAUUACCACAGUAUCUUCAGCGUACCUACGUCAUUAUUACCCGUUCUCCAUUUCCAUUGUUUGGCCACCCCAUACAUUCAUCACUGCGUUUUCUAACAGUUUAAAAUUUAAAUCUAUAUAAAUAUGUGUAUGUGUUUAAUAUUUUUAAAUAUUAUUAAAUUUCAAACAGAGUUAUUCUUGAUUAAAAUAUUGCUACCAAUUAAGUCUGGAAAUCGAGCCGUAAAAAAAUGUUUAGUUUCGAAUAAUUCGUGUAACAUAAUUUUGAAUUACUCCAUCCACUUGUUAUAUAAUUAAAAGAACCAAUUCCAUUUAUUUAAAGUUUUACAAAGUGAUUCAUUAAGUAUGCACCGUGUCCACAUUAUUUUUAAGAAUAAAUUAUGCAUAUUAUAUUCAAAUUCUGAUUUUUGGAAUUUUUAAAUGUAGUUAAACACGGUAUUUUUGUGUACUUAGAUUUUUCACAAAAGAUUUAAGGAGUGCCAUGUAGCGAUACCAACUUAGGUUUUUCAAAUAAAAACUUAGCUACACUAAAAAUUUCUUUAAUAGAUGGAGUAAGUUAAAAUAAGUUUUGAUGUUUAAAAUUCAAAUUUGGUAUUGUCAACAGAAUACUCCUGAAAUUUUUUGAAAAAUCUAAAUGUAUGAAAAUAUCGUUUUUAGUUACACUUAAAAAGUCUCAAAAUUAAAAUUUGCAAGUACGUAUAAUUUACCCUUAAACAUCGUUUAAACAUGUUUAAUGAAUCAUUCUGUAUAUAUAUAUAUAUAAAUAUAUGCGAGUGUCGAGUAAAUACCUACCGUGUUCUAAUAUCAAUGUACUUUUUAUUUUUGUUAUAAUAUAAUAUUACUACAUUAUAUAUUAAAUGAAUGAUAAUUGUAUAGCAUUGCUAUUGCUAGCAAUGUUGCUGUGUUGUAUAGCAAUAUUGCUAUUGUAUAGCACGUAUAGUAGUAUCUUCGCAUAUUAAUAAUAUUAUGACAACUUAAGAAAUUUCUGUCAGUUUUAGUGACGAAUUAAAUUCUUUAGAAAACCGAAAGUUGGUAUGUUUUAACCGUACGUGCGUAUAUGUAGAGUCGCAUUCUUUGUACUCAUUCGGGAGCUAAAAGUUUUUUCAUUCUUUCCCUACAUAUAUGCUCUGCGACCUCGUGUUUUUAUAGUAGGAGAAAACUCUUGUAAACUCAUCAGUUGGUCCCUGGGGCGAAACGUGAUGUGAAUACUAGUGAUAUCCGGACGAAUUAACCCUGCCCCGCUGACUGUCGUGCGCUAGAUUCUGCUAUUAGGCUUCGUGUGUAAGUCCAUCAAAUUUCAUUAUGUCCGAACGAUUCAGUUUUGCAAUUUCGAAAGAUUUACGUUCUAAAAGGUUCGUCUUUUUGUGUGUUUACAGUCCGUAAACCCAACUAUAAGAACAAACGCACUGCAAUGAACUUUUUUUUUUUUUUUUUCAAUGAGCCCGGUUACGUGAUGUAAAUUAAAUAUAAUGCUUACUGAAGCAUUAGGUAUAUUUAUAUAGAUUUACUAAUACAACAUUUUAAGACGAUGCGCGAGAAUAUUCAAAUAGUUAUAAAAAAACAAAUCAAAUUUUCUUAUAGCUGUCAUGACCAUCAGUAUUAUGUCAACGUAAUUGUGUAUAGGUGAAAAAAAUAUAUUACGGGCAUUUUGGUAAAACUUAUAUAUUUCUAAAAAAUAAAAAUGUAUGUUUUUUCUAUAGAAAUUUUUUAUAACCUUAAAAAUCGUGUGAACAAAGUGGUCGUUUUCUGGUCAGACUGUAAUAAACGGAUCUAUUUGACAUUUUUUCUGCUUGUACCUUAAGUGCGGGGAUAAAGGCGAUUUUCUCAUACGUGCUCUGAAUUAAAAUUAUUCUCCGAUAAAAUAUUAUAAAACGAAUAUGACACUUUGCAGACAUACAUUUUAAAGGGUGAACAAAACAUAAAAUGUAUGUAAAUUUAUUUUAAUUAUUUAUCCACAGAACAGAACAUUUGUAUGUUAUAGAUAGGUUACUACUAUUAAAAAGUACACAAUAAUAUUUUUGGGGGGUUUUUCUUCAAACAAAUUUUAAGUAAAUCAAUUAUUUAAAUCUUAAAAAUUUUAUUGAAGUUUUAUCCAAAGAAAAUUGUAUAGAAAAACAUAAAUUAUAGGUAUUUCAUAGUUGUGUAUACAAUAGUUCCCUUGUCAUUAAUUUACUAAUUAAUUAAUUGAUACGAGUAUUUCGGUCGAGUAUUUAGAUUCUGUGAUUCUGAUAUUAUUUAUCAAAUCUUGUAAAUCUUUUACUAAGAUGUGUGUGUUAUUAAUUUCAGAAAACACUUUUUUGGUUAAUACAAAUAUUCUGAUUUGUUCAUGUCAUAUCCAUAAAGAUGAGGGUUUGAUAGUACUUCACUUAAAAUAUUUUAAGUAUUUUCUACAAUCCAUCCCUAGAAUUUUAUUUUUAUUUUUGUCGAUUUUCGGGUUCUCGUGGUAAUUAGGGAAAAACACGAAUUAUACUACUCGUCUUAAUUUAGAUUUUUUGUUUUCAAUGAUUUACCUAAAUUUUCCAACAUUUUAGUAAUUAAUUAAUUUCACAUAAUUGCAUUAAAUUAAAAUAUACUAGCUUAUGAUGUUUCGUCGGUAUACGUUGACUGCAAAUAACUCCGCUGUUUAUUAUACUUUUAUUAAUGUAUUAACGACUUGUUAACGCAAUAAAAGCCUAUUUGUCUGGUAAGACACAUAAUACUAUUACCCGGCAUGCUGUAUACAUUAUAAUAUAAUUAUUGUAUACAUUGCUGUAUAAUGUAUAGUUCAACAGUUGAGAGCAAACUUCAUCUGUAAAAUACUUUAUGUAAUUUCUUGUAAGUCAGCAGAUUCACAAUUCCACACCAUCCAUACUAUUUUCUACUAUAAUUUGUAAGAAGACGUUAAACGCCUCUAUAUAUAAGUAUAGAGUAGAGUUGAACAAAGACAAUUUUGAAAAAACAAAAUUAAAAUGUAUUGGUAUUAAUAAACACAAGAUAGUAUUUAUAAAUUAGUAAUUAUAUAAUUAUAAUAUACAAUAAUCAACGUGUAUAGUUAAUUCAAUACAAUAUUAACGCAAACAUUUUUAAAAAUAAAUAAACUUCAAAGAGAUUUUAUAUGAAAAUAAUAUACUUUUAAUAGAUACUUAAAAUAAAUAUUAUAGAGGGUAGUAUUUCCGACUCGUUUUGAGGAUAGUGGUCGUUUUAAUGCUUAGAUAUUUUUUUUAUGAAGGUAUACUUUAUUUUUGCGAGAGUUUCACUUGAACACAUUUUUACGGCUGGACUUAAAUUUAACCUAUUGUCUUCUCAACUAUUAAUUUUUUUUUCUGCUCUGCUGUGGUCGUUAUUACUAUAAUGCCUAGUAUAAAAUUCACAGCCCAUAUCUAUAUUCUACAUGGCAAUUUUCUCUAUUAAAUUUUCAGCUAUACCGAGAACGGAUCCAGGGGGCCUAGGAGCCCAGCCCCCCCCAGACAUAUUAUUUCUCCAAUUUCUUUAAGAGAACUGUAUGGGGAAAUAAUGUGUAUAAUGUAUUAUAUUAUAUUUUAAAUGUAUUUAUGUUAUAAACAAAUUGUUGCCCCCCAAGAUCAUUGUUUUGGAUCCGUGCCUGGACUCUACUGUCUGUUCUUCAUAAAAGCCGUUUCCAUAUAGGGUGUUCUUAAAUCAUCUGUUAAACUAAAGUUAACUCAAUUUAAGAUUUUAUGGAUUAUUGAUGAAUAAAAUUAGUUUUAAAUAUGGCCAUAUAUCAAAAUAAAUGUUCGACGAACAUGUUCGGUUUCACAUAGUCUUGUAAAUAAUAAUUUUUAAAUUUAUUCAAAACACAUUUUUUAAAUACGUUUUAUUUGAAAUACGUAUCCAAAUACUUUUUUAAAACUUAUUUGUGUAUAAAUAAUAAAUACAAAUGCUUGUAUUCAAAAUUUCAAAAUAUUUUACAAAUUAUGUUGUUUACAAUACAUUUUUUAUGCCAUGAAUUAUUGGCGAAAUCCACAAUUAUGACAAUAUUAAAUAAUAUUAGACAUGUUUUGGCGAUGUAGUUUUUGGUAACCAUUUGGGAAUCUACAAUUUGCAUUAACAGGUAGUAAAAGAAAUGUUCGUUUCGUGCACCAAUGCAAAUGAUCGAAAACAUAGUUUUUAAUUUCCACCAAAAUCACUAUAUCUACGUAUCAAUUAUUUCAGCGGUGUGAAUUAUGUCCAGUUUAUUUCCUUACAUAACUCGAUGUUUAAUUGAAAAAUGAAUUACAAACGUAUUUAAAAAUAUUGGUGUACAUUACACAUCUCGUUUAUAUUUUGGUGUAAAUUGAUUAGACUCAAAUAGUUUGCUGCAUUAUUUUCUACUUGGUUGUAAUACCGUGAAAACAUUUUGUUUACUCUGUACAAUAUAGUAUUUCACCAAUGGAUAAACAGUAACCGAAGACAGCGAAUGUAGUUUUUAAUAAUAUUGUUUGCCGAUUUCGAGAACCUGAUUGUCGAAAAGUGCAUCCAGUCGUCAAACAAUUAUUGCAGUAAACAAUAAUAAUACCACCAAAACAGUUUGUUCGCUAAACUAGUACCUAAACUCAAAACGGCAUCACCAAAUCACGCGCCUACAUUGUGUACAAUUGUCUAUAUUAGUGUAACAAAUUUAAUAUCGUACACAACGAUAGUAAUAAUAUUAUUAUUAUGUAAUAUAUGUGUUGCGGCGGCGGAAAAGUUUGUCUUUGCUGAUAUUAUAAUAUAAUGAUAUAUGUAUACCUACUAUAUACAGGGCACUUAUAUUGUAAUGUCGCACGCGGCCGUGGGACAAACAUUCGGCAAAACUGAAUUACGCGCACUAGCUGCUAUAUGCGAGGGGGCGGUACCCAGACGGCGGUGGCUGUUGUUCGCGCCGGGCGAACAAGUCGGUGUACACAUAAUAUAAUAAUAAUAAUAUACAGGGUGUCUUAUUUACGAAGUUUACGUGCACUAUGCGUGACGGUAGAUUUCACUACAGUAUAUGUUUUGUCCCGGAAAAGAAAAGCUUUGGUUAAUUUUGUUAAAUUUUCAAUUUUCAAGCAAAUUACAUUUUGAAAAUACUCCUGAAUGGGGUUAAAUUGUUUAAUAGCCUAGCCUAAACGACCGUUCUAAAUGGAUAAUGAUUAAAUGACUUAUUAAAUACUUUUUUUUGCCGCCAAAUGAAAAAGCGCAUAAUAGUUACUGUAGAUAUUUUCAUUUUUAAUGUAACUAUACACGUGUUAGAAUGUAUACAAAAUUAUCAAAAUUUUCAUUAAAUGGCCAAAAGUAAAAUAAAGUAUGCAACUUUUUGUCCCGUCCGGUGGCGUUGCCUUUGCUAAUUAAAAUCUCCACGUUUUUUUGGAGAAUUUUUUCCGAAAAGAAAAUUUUUCCUGUUGUACUGCAUUGUUUUCUUCUUCUUUUGGAUAAAUUUUACGACGCCUUCUGGUUAAGAUGAGCUCGAACUCUGGGAUCAGAGUUGAAUUUUAAUACGAAUUUCGUCAUAUUGUUUUGGAAGGACGGUGUUUUUAACAUUGUUUACCCCUACUGACUCUCCAAAUGAAAUUUGUUAUAUGCGUGGUGUUAGUACCAAGAAUAUGCCUUUCGAAGUUUAAAUUUAACUUUUAACCCUUCCUCGUUAUUUUUACAAUUUUUGCCAUUUUUUAAGUGGAUAGUAUAAUUGAAGCAUAGUAUUCGGUUAUGCAUUGUUUUACACAAAUAAUAGUUCUAUAAUAAAAAAUAGGUGGAUAUUAAUUCUAUUAUAAUAGUGAUGAAACUCUGCUAUUCAACAACGUACUUAUUUGUACAAUUAAAGUAAAAUUUUUAAAAAAAAAACCUUUAAGUUAAUCGAAGUAAGUGUAAGAAAUUAAAUUUAACGUGUAUCCUAUGGAUAAUAAAUACUAUACAAGGUGUAUUACUAUGGAUAUAUUAUUAUUAUGCGAUAUCUGUGUCAUUAAAGAAACCCGUAAAUCAACAGAAAUAAUUCGAUUUUCGUUAAAAAAAACUGUGUUAGCUAUUAUUUAGGAUUUACACAGAUCCAUCAAUCUGCUUUUCGUUAUGCAAAUUUUCAGAUUUCUAUGUGCGAUAAUUUGGCUACAAGUAGAAAAACUUUUAUUCCUUUUUUAUUUACAUUUCUAUUUCUUUUAUUAAUAUAAUAGAUAAUUUAGAUUUCUCUAUCGUUAAAACAUUUUUGAAUAGAAAUAUUACAUAUUAUAUAAUAUAUAUAUAUUAUGAUAUACGCCUGUUUAAAAAUGUGAUAAGUUUAUUAUUAUUUACAAAUGGGAAAUUUAACGGAUUAUUUUUUAACGAAAAUUUGUUGAACGGGUUUAAAUCGUGAAAAUAAAUCCCAUAAUACCCGUAAAUUGUGCGUAAAAAAUAAUUUUUCAUAAUAUACAGGUCGCUGCUUGAAGUUCAAGUUUCGUUUUUAUUUAACGAAUAAGAAAAUUUAAUAAUUACAAUAUCAAAUUCAUUUAGAAUAUCGUAUAUAUUUAUCGUUUAUAAAUAUAUACGUAUUAUAAAUUAUAAAUAUAUCGUAUUAUAUAGGUUUAUCGUAUUAAAAUAUGAAGAUUGCAACAUUUUGAAGACCCUGUAGGUAUAUAUUAUUAUAUAUUAUAGUAAGUCGUGAAGUGUUAUAGUGGUGUGUAGUAGCUUCGAUUUCCGGAACGUCUUUGCAUGUUACGGGAGGUUAGGUCGGACGACGGUGGCGGCGGAGACACGGCGGCGCGUUCGUUAGUUUGUAAUGAGUUUUGCCAGCCGACAAAAUUAAACCCUCCCCGACUCCCCCUGCCAUUUCCCCGCCUAUCGUUGGCUAGCCCAUCAUACGCCCCCGCUGGUCUACAUGUAUAGUUGUCGUCUAUUCCCCCUCGUACACCGACACUGCACCGCACGCCCCGAGUAUAUCGCCUUCGCCGUCGCCUUCAAUUCCGCAUAUUACGUCCUCGGGCAAUUUAGUCACUGGCUGACUGGCUAGCUACUUGGAUAGUAGGCUGAUGCUGAAUGCCGAUUCAGAAAUUUCGCUCCGAUUUUUAAGUUUAGAGCCUUUUUUAAAAACAAAUUGGACUGAGGAAAAAAUUGUUUAGGUUUUUAUAAUAAAUGGAAAACACCGGGAAAGAACGUAGAAAAACGGGACAGUUUACGAUCGGUAUUGUAUUAGCUAUUUUCGGAAAAUCCCAUUUUUUUCCAGAAAUGUUGAUCCCUAUUUUUAUUUGAUUCAUCUCUGUAUCAAAACAACCAAACAUAAAGUUGUGCGUAUCUCACUAUAUCAGAUAUGCGCCAUUUAGGAAUUACAUUUAAGAAUUAAUUUAUAUCAAUUCAAAAAUUUAGUAAAUCGACUUAGAAAUUUCUAUCAUGUCUGAAUAAAAUUACCAAUUUAAUUAUCCACUCAAAAUCUUCGUAAACGAUCGCCAGUUCGUGAUGUAUAAAUAUUAUCACAAAAUAUUAUUGUCGUCUAUUUUCAUGAGUUUCGCAAUUUGUUGUCGCUUUCGUCUAGCACAAUUUACGAGUAAUGUGACGUACGUUUUACGCGUAUUGUCCACAUGUAAUAAAAUUCAAUACCCACUGCAGUACAUACACUUGAACAAAUAUAUUAUUGGCAUUAUAAAAAAAAACAUCGUGUCAAGAAAGAACGUGAUACCGCGACGAUGAUCUGUGGCGAAUACAUGUUCGCGUACAACAAACUAAAAAGAAAAAAAACCACUACAUUACGUUAAACUUUUAAAUUAGUAGUAGUUUUUGUAUAAUGUUUGUUUUUUUUUUAUGUUUUUUGUACCUACUUUUAUUUAUUUUUUGUGUGUAUGUGAGUCACUUUUCUACCAGAAAUCUUGCUCCGAUGUAACAAGUUUAGCUUUUUUUCAGAAAGGAAAUUUUAUUUAGUUGGUACAUUGUGGAGAGCACUUUAUGACUUUUUAAGAGGUUUCUAUAAUAAUUUGGAAAACCGGUAAGAAAAUUAUAGGUAAAACGGCAAAUGUUUACGGCGCACCGUGGCCUUACCGAUUUCAUAAAAACGUAUUGAUAUGAACUUUUGUGAUUUUGUUUUUCAUUCGAUAUUUCUUAAUAAUGAAAUUGAAAGUUAAACUAAUUCACAAUUACAUCUAUAAUUAUUGUUGGUUUGUUUUUUUUAUAAAAAUAUAUUUUUCACUGCUAUACGAGUAUUACGUGUAUCGUAUAUUAUCGAGUUCAGGUUUUAGUACCUAUAAUACAUAGUAUGUACAAGAGAACCUUAUAAAGAUUUGUAAACGGAUGUUUUAUGUACCUGAAAUAUCUUCUUUUUUCGUUUUUAGUUUUACUUCAAGUACUUCAGUAAACUUUUUACCUCGGGUUGAAAUACAAUUAUUAGACUUUGAUCUUUAAGGGUAGGUGGUAUCGACGAUGGAAUUUGCCAGAGGUUUUUAUUUCCAACGUAAUUCGACACGCGUGUAUUGCGAAGAUAUUUUACUCGAACCUUCUACCUGUAGAAAAUAAUUUGAAUACAUUUUUAUGGCACGUCCGUAGCUUAAUAAUACCGAGACAGUAUGCGCUUCCCAGUAUAAUGCAUUAUAUAGGUAUAAAUAAUACGCGUUUAAUAAAUUAUAAUUUACCGGCUGAUCAAUCUAGCUUAAGACACUCAUUAUCUCGGAACAUAUUAACUUUAAAUAAUUUAAGAAACAAGCCCCCUCAAAAAGGUGGUGCAUGUUUAUUUCUCAUUUUUAAGGUCGGGGUUGAAACCGUCAAAAAUCAAAACAGCGAGCUUUAAUAGUGGUUUCACCUACAAACGUAAGUGAUAAGACAUAGGGAAAUGUAACAUUUUAAAAUUGUUUACUGUUUUCCCUUUAUCACUUUGUAUAAUAUAAAGUAAUGUACGUUUUUAACAGUAUUUGUCGGUUAUUCAUUCAAAACAUUACAAAAAUGAUUCCUUUGCGAAUGUAGGUACAUACAUAUAUUUACGGUCUUUGAUUUCUGUGAAAUUGCGAUACCUAGCUACUUUCUUAUUUUAUUAUUCAAUUGUAUCGCGAGGAAUUUUGUUUUUUAUCCUAAUGCAUAAAAGCUCCUUGUGGCUCGUGGUUUUGUCGUCAACAAUACUGACAACGGUCGGAAAUCUGUCAACAGAAAAGGGCACGGCAUAAACAAGUAUUAUAAAUCCACUCGUAGAUAGGGGACAAAAAAAGAAAAAGAAAAAGAAAAAGAAAAAAGCAAAGCUGAUGGAAUAAAAGCAGCCCGCGGUAUUUACCGUGCCUGAUCCUAAUCGGAUUCAGUUUAAUGUUAUGCAUAGAAGCUUCUUCGAUGUCCUUUGGGACUAUAUUCUGAAUCUCGUCGUGCAUAUAAUAUUGCGUAUUAGGUUAAAAAAUAUCAAAAAUGUAUUUUUGAAACUAAUGCAUAUAAAAGGACAGUAUUAGUAAGUCGAUUCGAAUCAAAUAAUUAGUAUUAUUUUGUUUCAAUUCACUAUUUUCUGAUAAAUCGGUAAAGGCCGUCUUUUUACCGAUUUUUUAAGUGAUUAUAUUAACUGUUAAUAUAAGCACUUAAUGGUUAGGUUAACUUAAUAACCCAAUCUAAACUAACAUAUUAUCUAUACUGUAAUGAUGCUGUCAACUAUUAAUUAAUUGUUUAUUUUUUUUUGGGUAUUAUCGCAUGCUUAUAAUACUUACUCGGGGGUGAACGAUUAGCAAAAAGUAUAAAUAAAUAUAAACAGGCAAUUAUUUUAACGAGAUACGAAAUUUAGCAAUUUGUUCUGGCAUAUUGACAUCACUCGUCUUUGUAACAAUAAUAUGAUUGAUUCCAAAAUAAGCCCGCUGUCGUCUUUCAAUUAAAUGAUGGAAUUAUAAUUUUGUGUUUUCUUUUUUUUUUACUCUAGAUUCAAAAUGUAACGAAGAAGCCAUUAUAAUUUGAAUAAUAUGUUUGUGUAUGUGUGUGUUAUACCACGGUGCACAUUUUUUGGGUGGACAGGUGGUAUUUUAUUUGAACAUUUGUUUUGAAAUUCUUAAUGCUUUUUCCACAAAAAUGUUAUAAUUUUUUUUAAAAUUUGUUUCAUGAGUGAAAUGCCUCAAUUUGUCACGCAGUAUUUUGAAAGACCUUUUCGUCUGGCGGUAAAAACAUUCUAUACAUUUCCAAUAUAUUUUUCUAUAAAAUUAAAUCGCCGUGAGCUGCAGAGCUCCGUUGCUCCGUUAUUAAAGUCAAAUUUUCCCACAGUCGAGGUAUUAUCAAUAUAAUAUUUUUUUUUAAAUUUUUUUUUUUAUUAAUUUUAAUUAGUCUUGGUUGUCAGAUAUGCUCAUUGGUGUUAGUAAUAUUGAAUUUGUACUUAAUUAUCAAUUAAUUUAAUUCAAUUAGAUUUGUUUUUAUUUAUAAUUUUUAAUCGAUAAACGUUUAUUUACCACGUCUACUUCCUACCCUCUAUUAAUAGUCUACUAUAUCUCUUUCAAAUAUAAAGCAUAUCCUAUACAUUUCUGGCAAUGACAAGGAAUUGAACCAAAAAGUUUCAUCAAAUAGUAAUUCUUGAGACUUUUGCUAACAUACAAACAUUUAAACUUUCUAAAGGUACAUUUUCGACAACAAUACUAUUUGUAUAUACAAAUUUUCACACCGUUAGUUACUUUGAUGAGUCCAUAGGAGUACUUAAACCCGGUAUUUCCUGUUUAACAUUGAAUUUCAAAAUAAAAACGGCUGGGGACGAGUUUGAAUAUUAAAACACCCAAAAUGUAAAUCAUUAAUACUCAUACUGUGUAUCCGUGCAUCAUAAUGUCAUAUGUCUGCUUUAUUUGGAGAACCAGUAGAAAUUUACAUAGAUAAAAAAACACCUUGCCUCUGCAUCAAUAUUGUGAAAUUUCAACAUUUUAUCUACCUGUUCAUUUUUCCGACCUACUCAUGUUAGUCGAAUGAUGUGCGUCCUAACUUUAUUACGUUUUUUAGUGUUGUAUAUAAUAAUAUUUCUUAAAAAAAAAAUGUAUUUUUUCAUGAUUUAUGCAUGACAUCACUGUAAUGACACACUGCAUGCGUAUAACAUAAUAUUAUUUGUCGUAUUGUUUUUAAUUUCACAUUAUAUGAACCAACAGCUUAUUCAUCAGUUUUUUUUUUCGUUUUCUUUGAAACUUAUAAAUAUUUAUUUUUCAACUUAAAUAAUAAUAUUGUUAUGCAUACAAAAACAUUUCGCCAGUCUGUAGGUACAGGCAAAAAUGUAAUUUCGUAUUUAUUUUUGUAACUGCGGGUUGUUUUUUUUUUUUUUAUACUAAAUCGACUACGUGCAAUAUAUAAUCCUUAAAACCACAUUUUAACGCGCGAGUAUCUCGGGUUGUUUAAUUUUUUUUUUUAUACGCACACGUUUAAUAAGAUAAAACGUGCGAUGUAUUCUGGAAUAUAAUAAUAUAAUAUAAAGGCCUUUUACAAUAUUAUAAUAAUGAACCUUUAAUAUGCGCUUAGCCUUUUACGUACUCGGACGGACGUCCAAUGUUACGACGGCGCUGCGCGAAACGCAUCGAAGAGUGAAUUUGAGAGGCUUUUUUUUUUUUAUUUCGUCGUCCCCUCUAAACUAUCCGUAGUAAUAAUAUAAUAUUAUAUAUAGUUAAUAUUAUCAGCUUAAUAUAAUCUCGAUUUUUCGUUGAGGUGCCCUUCGCGCGUGGACGUUGAUUAACCCCUCGCGUAAAAAUGUCGACCCUCCGACAUUUUAUUAUUAACUCAUAUAUUACUAUUAUUAUUAUAAAAGGGUAUACGUAUACGCAUACGUACACCGUGGCACGCGUGCACAUCAAAAUCCUGCACUGGCUCUGCACUGUGCUCUUGCUGCCGUCACCGCCACCGACAAUAUUGACAAGACCGCCGCCGCCGUGAUGUAUUUGCCGCCGGUCAGGACGAGGGACGAAGAGUGGGUUUUUAUGCACAUUGUGUGCGUGUCUGUGUGUCCGUGUGCGUGCGUGUAGUGAUGGCUGCACACAGGAAGAUGACACGGUGGUGGACACGGGCGAGAGGGGCGUGGGAGUAGGGGAAGUUGGUGUUCAAAAACGCCGCUGCACAGCCUCCGGUGGCCGAAGUAAAAAAUCGAUAAUAUAACGCACAGUAUGCACGGCGGCUGCACCGACAGUCAGUAGACAGUAGUAUUGUUCCUCUACGCCUUUUACAAUAAUUUUAUACCUUCCGAGCGAACGUUGUGAUGAUGAUAAUAGUAAUAUACGAAAUAUAUUUAUUUUUUUUUUAUCGGCUAACCCCUACAACCUGAGCCCGCGGCCCGAACCGUUUCGUGUAUCAAAGAAUCAAUCGUUCGCUAACGGUUAAAAUAACGAAAUAAAAGCAAAUCUCCGAGAUAUUCCCGCGAUGCAAUUGAUUUGUACCAUGUGGCGCUCAUUUAAAAUGUCCAAUAUUAAUGAAUCGCAUAAGCUGGCUCAUAUUUAAAUUUUAAAAUUCUCUCAAGAAUACAAAAAAAAAAUGUUAUAUUAAUAAAUUAGUAAGUUUAAUAAACUAAUGUUAUUAUCUCUAUAAGUUUAUACAGUCAUUUUAUGAAAUACUUUAAAACUCUAGGUGAUUAAGGCCCGUUCUUACAAUGUCCGGCCAAGUGUCGGUUAGCGCUAACCGGCAGUUAUACUGAAAUUUAACUGACAGUUGAUUCUUACAUUCGUCGGUUAAGAAAAGUUUUACCGUCGAAUUUUUAUCAUACGGAAUUCUGCCGGUUAUCCUCCGGUUAAGCUAAAAUCUCUCAGAUUGUGUUACCAAUAGGUACAUAUCAAUAUUUUUUUACGAUUACCGUCACUACUAAUAAUUUAUUCUAUACUAUUAAUUUUGUGUUUUAUAUGUUUAUCUUGAGUUUAUCUGUACAGAGUAUACAUUUUUGUUUUUUUUUUUUACUUUAUUGUUAGAAUUAUGAAAAGAGCAAUAUACCAAUAUAUAACUGCGGUUUGAUUGAAAGUGAUUCUUUAGACUACGAAAAUGAAAUUUCAGAAUUGAAUAUUGCAAUUAGGAAACAAAACUUUCCGAGAACACAAAAACUACUUAGAAUUAUUAGACAACAGUUGGUUUUACAACUAACUCGACCAACGUAUUUUCCCGUUAUAGAAAAAUUACUGCUACAAAGUCUCUCAUUAUUUAUUGACAUGUUUUAAAUAGUUAAGAAGCUAAUAGUUAGGACUUUAAAUAAGUAACGAAGAAUAUGUCAAUAAUCAAUAUGAAUAUUAUAAUACCGAGUUUUGUUUUGUAAACAGACAAGAAAAUAUUUUAUUAUAAAAUUUAUAUUAUUUAUAACGAAUUAUCUGACUGUAUAGAUGAUAAUAACAAUAAUAAAUAAUAACUCAAGAAUUGCGUAUGCGUAAAACAAUAAAGUUUGGUCUUGGGCGAUUGUUUUCGGAAUCAUUGUCGGUAAAACUGCCAGUUAGUUACACGAUCGUUAAUCGAAGAUUGUAAGAACAGAUCGCCGUAACCGGCACUUAACCGAUAACGUAACGGUUAGAUAACCGACACUUUUACCGCCACUUAACCAGACAUUAUAAGAAAGAUCCAAAGGAGUUUUAUGCUUUCUUGAAUUUGUUCGAGAUUCAAUUGAAUACCAAAAAAAAAAAAAAGGUUCAGCGUAUUCAAAAAAUGUAUCACAAAAUUUAAGGUCAGGUUAAGUUAAGUUUUCUAAUGAAUACGAACGAGCGAUUAGUGUAAAAGGAAUGAUAUUUUAGUGUGAAAAAAAAAGUAGUUUCAAUAAUGCAUUACCGACAUUGCAGUUAUUUUAUUACUGUUAUAAAAAAUUCCACGAACGGUCGAAUAAUUAUUCUUAUGAGCUACUUCUGUAGCAAACAAUAGCAUUUUUGUUGCUUUUUAAUUCAGCGUGAUAAUGGUUUAUAUUAAUUAAUAUUACCGUUCGUGAAAACAGUUUUUUUUUUUUUAAAUAUAUUUUAUUAAGUUUAUUCAUUAUUAUAUUUUAAUGAAUGAGUGAAAUGAUUAUAAAAAUAAAGCCUCAAAUAAUAUAAGAAAGAAAAAAAAAAAAUAUCCACAAGUCAACGCUAUGACGAACUUCCGGUUGGUCUAUUUUUACUAAUGUAUCGUGCUAGUUCCAUUAAAUAAUGAGUAUUCACUUGAAAGUUGUGUAUAAAUUUAACUAAAAAUGCACAUUUUAAACAAAUGGUUUUAUUUUUAUAUGCAUAUAAUAUAAAAAAAAGCAAAUUUGUGUAAUUAAAAAAUAACAAAAAAAGAAAUUCUAACUUAAGACAGGAGGUAAAAAUCCGAGUUUUCCACUACCCUCAAAUGACGCCACUGCGUUUUUAUGUGGAAAGCAAGAAAAAAAAAAUUUUAAGUGGCGCAUUAUAAUAUAUAAGUAUCCCCGCAGCAGAUAUCAACGUCAUCAUCGUUGUUCUCGGCUUUGCAAAACGGACGUGUCGACUUAUCGUACAUAUUAUAAUAUUAUAAUGGGUCUCUCGCUAUUACUUCACCCCAGCUAUAAAGGACUGUUGAUUGCGCAAAAGCCAAGACUAGCUGAUGUUUAUUAUUUUGCGUUGACGACGAUUUUAAUAAUGACGACAAGUAGGAUCAGAAAAGCGCAUCGGCUCGUAAAACGACAGAGUCGAGGAUCUAUGUAAUAUAUAAUAAAAUAUACAGGUCAACGACCCCUCCCCACUAAUCGUAUGCGUGUUAUUUGGAAACAGACAACUAUUAUUUUUAUUUUUUUAUUUAUGAAUCGAUAGCGAUCUACUUACAAAAAUACGAAAAUUUAGAUGCCAAACGGCAUUGAUAGACAAUGGUAAUUGAAGAAAUGGUACAAUCUAAAACUAUAUUAAAGUAACAGCAGAAAAACAAUAUUUUAACAAAUACCUGACGAUGGUACAAGAUAAGAAGAACGAAAACGCAAGAUACUGAUAGUUAAAUGUUCUGUGUAUGCAGUGACGAAUUAAGUCAUAGGAUCAUAAAUAUUGGUGUGAGUAUAAAAAUAAAAAAAGAAGAAGUUUGUGAUAAGAUAUGCGAAAAGAAAUUAUAAAUGAGACUCUUUUAAAGAAAUCAGGAGCAUUUAUCAUUUAAUACGUCGUAUUAUGUGAAUAUUAGGGAUUUUCACGGGUUUUCUAUCAGAAUAUUAUGUUAUUAUUAUUUUUAUCAACCACUUGAUUAUAUUCAUAAUUUAUUACCACCAGUGCAAUUAAAUCAAACACAUUACACUACACUAGUUUAUUGAGGUUUUGCAAACAAUCAAAUCAAAUAUAGAAGGAAAAGAAACUUCGAUGGUCAAUUCUAUUCCAUUCACUUAAAUAUAAUAAUAAUACUAGUAUUAUGUCGAGCGGUAGACAUUGCCGGAAAUGUUUUGGCCAAACUUAAACGUAUACUCGGGUCUUGGGCCGGAAGUUUACACUUCCGUCUGCUGCACGCGGAUACGUUACGAUUUAUAGUUAGGUAACGGAAAUAAUAGGCUAUAUUAUCUCGUAGUAAACCUACCGGGAUACCGGGUACAAUUGUUAUUUAUACGAAAUAUCCGAUAGUAUUAAAAAAAGUUCCAUUGUUAUAUGUUUUAUAUUUUUUGUUAGCAUGUAACGAUUUGUCACUAUAUUUCAAAAUUAUAAAUAUAAUAUUAUUUCGAUCUUCACAAAUAAAAUAUUACAUAUAUGUUUAAGAUUAAAAAGGUCAUCUUUCCUCCCCUUUUUAUGUAACAAUAUUAAAAUUUGUUUUGACAGGCUAUUAAGUUGUACCCACUAUAUUAUUUUAAAAUUAAUACAUUUAUCGUAAAGCGAAGAUAUUUAAAAUACAAAAUUUGUAUCCAUUAUAAAAUUCGAAAAGUUGUUUUUUAUGAUAAUAUUAUGCAAUGAUGGUUUACAUACUUAAUAUGAAAGGAUGUACACAAAUGUAAAUAUAUGUUACAGUUAAACACAAAAUCUGACAAGACUAGCUUACACAAAUCCUUUUUGUUAAAUCUAACGCAAUAUUACCUUUUAAACAUCAAUACAUUUCUAUACUUAUCCUAAUAUAAAAGAAUUUCUUUCCAUCUUUUUUCAACUACCUAACGGUAGAUUAAUUAUUUCUGAAAAUAAAUUUUUACCAAAAAAUUUUAAUUUUACCUAAUAUAUUAUAUAGACAUAUUUACUAGUUCUAACAAAAAUACAAUAAUUUAAAUUAGUUUCAACAUUGUUGGUUCUAGUUAAUUCUAGUUUUAGUAAAAUCAAAUUUGAUGAAAGGGAUUUGUGGAAGUUAGUUUUAGCGGAUUUCGGUUUUUAACUGUAACAUAUUUGUAUAACUUCUAGAGAAGGUUUUUUCUUAAUUCGUAGAAAGUUAAGGAAGAAGGUAAUAUUAUUUUGAAUCUUAAUAUUUAUAGUUCUUAAUAUAAACGUAUGAUAGACAAAUUGUAGUUUUAUAUGUGUUAUACAUUAAAACCAACAAUCCACCUUGACCGAAAGAGAGAAAGAUAAAAUGCAGUUUUUUCAUGGCGGAAAAAUUGGUUAAAUUUGUUUCUCCUAUUUUUAAAAUACAAUUAUAGGUAUAAAAAGCUAUCCUGGAAUAAUAAAGACGGGUGCAGCUAUUGAUAUAGUUAAUUAAAUGUAUACCUGUAUAAGCAACGAUAAACCAUUGCUAAUGAAAAAAUGAUUCUGAGUGGAGUUCGGUUGAUGUGAUGCUUUGUCAACAAUAUAUGUCCUUUAAAGGUAAUAUAAUUAAAUAGGCAUUAUAUAUUUUCUUUAAUAAUAUUUGUUUAAUGUACCGAUUUUUUCAUUUUUUCUACGUUUUCCCCGGUUGUUAUCAUUUGCUGGGAAAACUCUCGGAAAAAUCGAAAACUUGCUAUAUUUAAAAAUCUGAGUAAGAUCUCUAGAAGAAAAGUUUUCUAUAGAAAAAACAAUAAAAAAAAAAAAUUAAAAAACUAAACAUCUUUGUGAAAUCAUAGGGUUCUUCGCUCCACUCAGAAUCUAAAAUACUAGAAAUUAUAUUUAAUAUAAUCACACGGGAAAUAACUAACUAAACACACGGGUAUUAUUCAUGAUUUUAUGAUAAUUUCUCAUGUAUAUGGUUUUUAAUAUCGUAGUAUAAUAGUUGUCUUACAUAAUUAUAACUAACAACCUAAAUUAUUAUUUUCUUUUAUCAAAGUGAAUGCAACUUUAAUUACAAAAGUAGUAAAACAAUUUUAAUUUUACGUUAUUGCGCUGCAACAAAUUAGUGUUCAUGCAUAAUAAAUAAUAUUAUGGAGAUAUAGUCUAUGUUAUCGGUUUACAUGUUUAAGAAAUUUAUUAUAAACACUAUGUUAAAAAUAAAACUAAUAUUAAAUUUUGUUCAGUAUUGGUUGAGUAAAAUAUUCUCGAGUAAUUUUUAUAAUUAUAUUAAUAAUUUUGAAGUCGGCAACUUACAUUAUGUAGUUAUACUGUGUGUUCACGUUUCCAGGUAACACUACAUAUUUCAACUGGAUAACAUUGGCUAUGAAUUCGGUUUUUGAUAUGUGGAACUAAAAUACACACUUUAAGAUAUAUUUAAAUUUAUGAACUCUAUAAGUGUUCGCAUGCCCAAUAAAAAUUACAUUUUUGAAUAACAACAUCUAUUUUUAAUACUGGAUUGGAAUAUUCCUAUAUUUUCCUGGAAAUUUGUAUCACGGUGUUUGAAUAGUACUUCAUUCCUCUUUCCCUACCAACAACUUUAAAGGUAGAAUAUUUUAUCAACGGGUUGAUGUACAUUACACAAUAAACAUUUUGACACCAAAACGUUUUCAAACCUGAACUUUAUCUAUGUAUGGAGUUAUAUAAAAAUCAAAUGUAGUCAGUGGUUUCAACCCUAAAAAUAAUGGUGGUACCAAAAAACAAUAUCGAGUGUAACAUUUUUGAGCUGUUUAUUUCUUAGUUUUUUUAAAAAACAUACUCUAAAAAAAAAGUUAUUAUUUUCCAAGAUAAUGAGUGUUUUAGUAUAUUAUUCUGGAAUCUUAAACUACGCCUAGACAAAUUGCAUCAUUAUCGUUUCCAUGGUUCAAAUGAUCGCAGUGAUUUAUAGUGAUCUUAAUAUUAAAAGAAAAAAAAAUGUACAUAAAACGUCUAAAUGCAUAUUAUAUAACCGGUCAUGGUUGGCUGGUAUACAUGCAAAAGAGGCGACUGCAGUCUGCUGCCAUCACAUCACUAUACACUUUCCACCUCACACACUCCUUUACAUAAUCUUCUCUAUACGAGGGUCGAGUGCGUUUCUUCAGCGUGUCUGAGAAGUUAUGAGUAGGCACGAAACGAUGACGUUUUGCCGACCGUUCCUGACAAGAAUGUUUUAUUGCCGCACUCCCCACGUUUAUUCUUUGGUCGACUAUAGCACAUCAUUGAGAAAACUUCCACACGUGCACAAUUAUUCUCUGAAAAAUCCUUAUCCUAUGUGCAGCGUAUACAAAUAUAUAUGUUAAAAUAUUUAGAUUAAGAUAAAAUAGCAUUCUUAAAAUAAUUAUCUAAAUGAAAACAAAAAAUACAGAACAAUUUUUUACAUAUAGAUAUAAAGAUAACAAAUUAAGAACUGGGUGGGUGUUUCUAAACAUAAGAAAGGUGCUAAACUGUGGUCUAUAUUUUUUUAGUGAACCCUGACGUAAAGUGUAUAGUCUAAAAUUGGAAGUGUGUGUUACGAGUUCUAGAAAUGUAUAUUAAAAAAUAGGAUAGUGUAAGUCUGAUACUUGUUGUAGUUAUAAAGUAUGGAGGCAGAAAUGUUUUCUCACCCGUUUGAAUGGUUGUUUUUUAGUAGCUCAAGCUCGUUAUGUAUAUCGCCACAUGUGAAAGAAAGUUGUAUGGGUCUUACUUUUCAGGAAUUACACUAAAGACUGGUAGACUUAGUAAAUAAACUUUAGUGGAUUACAAUACGGUUUGGUACUUUUAAAACAGUAAAUCGUCGGCUCUAUCUACAAAUAGUUAUUCAUCGUCUCAUCAUAAUUGUAUUUUUAAACUAGUUAUUAGUUCUUGAAUUUGAGUUGUUAAGGACUAAGUACCUCAACAAUUUUUUCAAUAAUAUUAGCGUACCCCUACUUAUUAUUACCAUGCGUGGAUUACGUUGAGUUUAAUUAUUAUAAGGAUGAUAAUUGUGUUUAGGUAUCGUAGUCUUCUUUUAAUUUUCCUAUUCAAGAACUGCUAACUAGUGACUUCGAUAAUCGCAAUGAUAUCAACUUUAUAAGGGGUAUACCUGAUAAUUUAAUUAUAACAAAUUGUGUUUUUUAAUUUAAUGCAAUUUAAUUAAUUUUAUAAGUAUAAAAAUCUAGAUAAAACGCAACAGUGCCAAUAUAAUAAUAUAAACUCUCGCUUCCUUGUUACUUGAGAAUAACUCUUCCCCCUUUCCCCAGUUAUACUUGUAGCAGCUAUGAAUCGUAUCGAUGUUAGUCCAAUUUGUCCUCAUUAUACGCUACCGGUUUUUUAUUUAAUUUGUCUGUUUAGUUUAUUCUGUAUUGCAUUUUUUCCCACAUAAAAUGGAAUUAUUUUGUAUAUAUAGUUAAAAACGAAAAAGGAUCCUCCUAACAAGAUAGAUGUAUACACAGACCAGAGGAGGAAGGAAACGGAAAAUUAGAAUCACAUUUCAUGUUUCUUCUUCGUGUUCCCUUCGUGAGUUUUAUUAUAAAUUGGAUAAAACCGUCGCGUCGCCGUUUCUGCCUUUUUUAAAUUUUUUUUUUUUUGCUCUUUGCCAUUUUAAGGUGAAAUAAGCGGCUUACUUGUCUAUUGUCGGUGGACGGGUUUAGUUUACAUAAACUACCCAUCAAAAUAAAAUGUAUUCGAAAGUUGUUUGUCUUCGGGCGGUAAAUAUUUUCUUUUGUAGACGGAUGGUUACUUUAAAAUGUAUUCAUAAUAUAGUGACUGUACGGUGUUCAGUAAUAAGCUGUAAAUUAGUAUUACGACAAACUUUCUUCCUAUUAGUUUUAAAAUUGGUAAUUCUAAAAAUGUAAUAUUGGAGAUAUGUUAUAAAUGAGUUAUAGCUCAUUUUAUGAAAAACGUGUAGGAUAUGGCGUAUUAAUAUUAGGAAAAUUUUAGUUUUUCGAUUCGUUUAGUUCAAUAUAAGUAUUUACAUUUUUUGUUUUUUUAGCGAAGAGUAAAUAAAGUUAUAUUUACAAAAUCCUAAUAAAUUUAAAAUUGUAUUUUAACUUGUAGUUAUACAACAACUAUAAAUGAAUAUAACUUUCAGUCAGUCAUUUUUUUUUACUAAACAGCUAGUUUUUAAUAUUUUAUAAGAUGCACUAUGAUUAAAAAAAUUUUAAAUUAAGGAUAUUGCAUGUUUUUCUUUUUUUAUUAUAUACAUUUUAAAUUGGUUAUUCUAUUACUUUACUCCCACGAGUGAAGAAAGUUUUGAGAUUAAACACGAAAAAAUCCACACCCAAGAAUCCUUGGAGGAACGAAAACUUUUAUUCCACCAAACUUGUUCAAAUAUAAGAGAAUAUACAAACUAUUUUUAACUCAAGUUCUAAAAACUAUCAGUCUUCAUUUAUGUAUAAUAAUGUUCUUUGUAAUCGAAAAACACAUUUUUUUUUCUUAUGUCAGUUUACAAAAUCUAUAUUUCAGUAGCUCAUUCAAUUUGUAAAUUGAAUUACAUCAUCGAAUGAAAAAAUAGGACUAUUUGAAUCUGGUGUUAAAAUAGGUGUGGCUAUCCAAAAAUAUUAAUUUGUAUUUUGCAUGCGCCAAAAGAGUUAAAAAUUGAAAUUUAUCAAGUGUGUAUUCAGUACCCCAUAAUACCUCCUGAAAAUAGAAUUAAAACCUAUGAUCAUAUGACCGAAAUAUUUAUCCAGAAAUCAAAUUUUAUAUAAUGUUAUAAUAUAGAUGUAUUUUUAAUUUGUACUAUUUACACGGACUCGUGUAUAGUAAAAAUUAAAAUUUUUACUUUUUUUAACGCCCUAGGUAUAACUUUACCGAUAACAUUAAAUAAAAUUUGCAAACAUUUUCGCUCGUCCAAAUAUUUAAAUUUCAUAAAACCAAAUAAAAACUAAAAGUACUAAAAAAUGUAAAAUGCCUAAAAUUAAAUAAAAAUCGCUAGAAUUAAUAUGAAAAUUCAGGUAUCACCGAUUAUUUUUAACAUAAUACUAAUAAAAUCAAAAUUAAUGAAACCAUAUUCCCUAAUGACCCAUAUAGCUUAACCUAACUAAUUCCGUAAAUUUUCCCGUUUUCCCUAUGUUUUUCAUGAUUUUUCCCCAUUUUUUAGAAAACCACACAAAAACUCAAAAACUGAUAUCGAUUAUGUAUACUAAAUAAGUUGGUUGCGUAAUAUAUAAAUCACCAAUAAAAACAUUCUGUGAAAAUUUCAGGUCUCUAUUAGUAAAUAUUGUAUUUUUUACUGAAUUAUAAUAAAAUAAAAGAGGCAAUACUAGUGGAAGUUUGCCAAAAAAGGUUAAUAUAAGUUUUCCGUUCAAAUUAUAAGUCUUUACAAAUAGUUUUAACUAAAUUACAAUAAAAAACAAAAUUGAAAAUAUUACAUUCCGUUUUUUCUACGUUUUUUUCGGUUUUUCCCAAUUUUUAUAAAAACUACUUGAAAAAUAAAGAAAUGACCUCCUCACGUGUAGAUAAAAUUAAUUUUUAAAAAAAAUGAAAUCUUACGCUCGAUACACUGAAGCAAGAUUUUUGGUAGAAAAGUGGUUCUUAGAAAAAAAAUAAAAAUAAACAUUGUAAAACCAAUACAUUCUUCGCUAUGUCGCAAAUAUAAAAAAAAAAUGGAAAAAAUAAUGAAACGUAGCCGUAAACUAUUCGAUUUUAAACUUUUUUUUUCAAACAGGUUAUUUUUAUCUAUCAAGAAAAUUAUAAGGAUAAUCAAAAAAUGGUCAGCCUAUGUAGUACGUAUCAACAAGACAACAUUUUAUGUUAGAUCGAAUGUGUCAUUUUAGAGAUUGGAAGAAAAUUUCUAAUAUAAAAGAAGUAUACAGAUAGACAAAACAUACACACAUCAAAAUAGUAAAACCAAUAUUGUAUUUGAGCUUAGAAUCUAAAAAAUAAAAAAUAAAGUGAUGUCAAUAUUUGAUAAUCCUUUUUGAAACAAAGGUUAAAUCGAUUGCUUUUACGGCGAAAAAUAGAAAAUCGAACACGAAGCGAAGAAUUGUAUACGGUGAACCGUAUUAUACAUGUCGAUUUUGUGUUUAAGCGAAACUCGAGUAAUUUGAGGGGUAGCUUUUCAAGCUAAUUUGUGCCCUUUUUACUUCGAAAGGAGUGCGGUUAAUAUAUACGCGUAGUCGUAGAGAAGUGGAAAAUCUUUUAAGCAAUAGUAAUUUAUCGUCUUUCGGCGAAAUGGCAAUUUACACAUAUACGGCAGCCGAUCAAUCAGUGUGUUGAUGUGUGGCGUGUGUGAACGCGUUCGUUUUGAGAGGCAGUUUCAAGUACACGCCAUGCUGUUUAAUUGAAUUAAAAAUAAAAGUAAACAUAUUCAAUAAGGAACUGUCUGCGAUAAAUUAUUAAAAUUUGCAAAUGUCUUCUGUAAUUUUAAAGCGCUUCUUUUUUUUUACUUUCAUCGCUUAUAAAACUGAAAUAUUUCAUUUUUACGUAUAAACUGAUUGAAUUUAAAAUGCCUCGACAAACAAAAAAAGCGUAGAACGCUUUCGUUAUCUUUUAUUUUUCGUUUGGUUCUAUUUAAUUCUAUACUGUACACGUAAGUAUAACCAUUGAACUAUACACAAUACAUGCAAGUAUAAAACGAUUAAACAAGUAUAAUUCGAAAAUAAUUCGUAAAGUUGUUAGGUAAUAAUUUUAUUCAAAUCAUCCGCGUGUGCAUAUUAUAUUCAUACAUAAAAUGUUACGUAAAUUUGUACCGUAAAGUUUGUAAAAUUAUGCAAACCCUGCAGAACUAUAAGCAAACUAUAGCGAUCGCACUAAAACUAAACCGCAGACAUUUCCGACAGAAUCAGCUAUGUAUGUGUGUUCGUAGUUUGUACCCAUUCUGAAUCUUUCGCUAAGGUUGUCUAACCGAGAAAUUAAAAUAUCAUCACUGAUUUUUACUUCACCUGCACUACGGUAUUCUAACAGUGGCAAAGAUUUACUAUCUAAUUCCUUUCCCUUCCAGCCCCUACCUAAUAUAGUCUGUUAGGAAAAUUAUUUAUUUGCUUUCCAAUUGUUAUAAAUGAUUUAUAAGCUACUCUUUCUUUCUGGCCUCAUGACUAUUCAAUAGUUUUUGUCACCGUCGACACUGUUUUUUUACUCCCCGUUCUUACGUAUUCUCUUUAUCAGUCAAUUCACUACACCUUAUUUUUUCAAGUCAUGUUCCAACCAAUCUAUCCAUUCAUCGGUUCGUAGAUCUUCCUUUUAGUGUCUUUCUAGUUGUUUUCCAUUUAUAUGCCGUAUUUAAGUUUGAUAAUUACAAUUACAUCACCACAUAUCCAAUAAGACUAUUCUACUCUGUGUGACUUCACAAAAUGGUAUUCUCUUCUUAUCUUCCGGAUCUUCUUGAUUUUUUUGUAUAGACGAAAAUAAAAACUUAUAACGUUUAGAUUUUGUAUAGAUUAGACUUUUUUUCAAAUGUUAAUGUAUUUUUAUUUUCUUCUCCAUCACCUUCUUUGAAGUAUGUUCGCGUUUUGUUGUUCUUCUUCUUUAUUACCUACUAUAUUAUAAGAAGCAAAAACGAUCGUUAGGCUUCAUCAUAUUAAUUGGGUUUCGGUCGAAGUAUAUACUAUAAAAGAGAAACUCUGAUCAAAGAAAACUUCAUUUGCAAACUGUUCAAAAGAAAAUUAAUUAAGUUCCCUAUAACUUUUCUAUGAACUUUUGAACUUAUAAUAUACUAAUCGCAUUGGAACCUACCUGCCUUUAAGUUAUUAGCCGUGGGCGACCGGAAAACUGUCCCAUUUUUAUAUGAAUUAUAUUGCGAACGUAUACACUACAAUAUUUAAUAUUAUUAUGAGCAAAUUAAGAAAUGUCGUUGAAACAAAUUUAGGGAUGUAACCUUGACUAAUGAUUGAAAAAUGGUGUAAUCCAAGAAUUUUCGUCAGCGACGCAGUUUUCAAAACCUCCAAAAUGUUGCGAUAUAUUAUAUUUGUACGCAAUAGGUACCUAUUGCGUACACAUGUAUAUAGUAUAGCGGUAUACACUCAUAUACAAACAUACUAUUUUGAAGUGAUUUUCAUAAGGCAUGUGAAUUCCUCAGUUUUAGUUGAUAUUUGCAUCUAACCUAAUCUAUGUAUACCUAAUAUUUAUAAAUAAUAAAUAAGUAACAAACUAUUUAAACCAUAAACACAUAUUAAAGUAUAUUAAUAUACAUUUAUAAAAAUUGAGUAAUUGAAUAAUUUAAAUAUUAUAAUUAUGUACAUACAAUUGAAAAAAAAAAAAAAAAUGAGUAAUUUAUAAUACGGGACAUGAAAGACUGAUGUGUCAUACUACAUUGAUUUUUUGUAUUUUGUAUGUAUUACUUUACUAUAAUAGGUAGGUAAUUUAAGUAGACCAUUUAUUUUUAAUGAGACACAAUUUAACGAAUAAGUUAAUGUAUACCCAAUUAUAAAAACUGUUCAAUAAUUUCAAAAAUAAUAAAGAAUACAUUUAUUUUACUAUAAUGAAUUUCUAAUCGGUUGCAUUGCAUUUUAAUAAGCCCCGUAAAUGCAUUAUGGUGUAUACGAGAACGACUGCUAUGGAAAAAUACAAACGAAAACGGGAAAUCCGAAAAUAUCUUUAUAUACUCGUUGAUAAACGGCGACCCAAAGGGCGAUAAAAAAACAAUUUACAAAAAAAGUUGUUAAAUGAUUUAAUUUGAAUCCACUCUGUAUGCGUUUACGACAGAUAUGUAUAACAUACACGGUUGCAUCACUGAAUUAGUUUGUCAAAAUGAACUACUAUUGAACUACUAUGAACUAACUACAAGCCCAUGUCGUAGAUAUGGAAUAUAUAUAUAUAUACAUAUUAUUUUUAUUAGCAAAUUGCUUAUUGUUUAAACUACCCUAUAUAUAGUAUACUACAUAAUACAAAUUUUUUUCAACGGCGGAAAAACGAUUUUUGACAACGCAAAAUUGUUUUCAAAAUCGCAACCAGUGCUUAACAACGCCAACAACAAAUAUUUUAAAUGUUCCCUGGAUUGAAAAAUAAAAUGUACGAAUCUUGCUAAAGUAUGAACAUUCAAUAUAAAAAAAAAAAUAUCAUUACGGCAACGAUUUUGUACGGCUUUCCGAGUUUGUAUUUCUUAAUUAUUAAACACUAACAUUUUAUGUUUUUAGUGGUUUGACUAUGAUGUGUGUUUUUUUUAAUAAUUUUUUUUUUCUGUCUGUGAGCUUCUUUUCUACCAGAAAUAUUGCUUUAAUCAAAAAAUACCAAUAAGUGACCUUUUUUUUUUAAAAAAAAAAAAUUUGGAUCUAGUAGUUGUUUAUGAAGUAAGUCUCUUUUGAUUUUCCAAGUAGUUUUCACAAUAGUUUAAAAACUGGAAAAAAGAUGAAAAAUGAAAACUGAUGAAUUUAUGGCGUUACGAUUUCAUUAUUUUGAAUUUGUACAGCUUAUGUUUUCUACUUGAAAUAUUGCUCAAAUAGAAAGGCGACAUUUAACCUUUUUAGUUGUAUUUUCAAUUAAGUUAAUAAGCAAGAAAAUAAUUUCGUUAUUCGAUUUUUCCUGUUGUUUUUUAAUAAUUGAGUAAAGCCAUUUUAAUUGAUUUACGUAAUUUAUAUUUGAUAGGUACUUUUGUGAAUGGCACUUCUUAUUUCUUACCGAACUUCGUUUCGAAUCGUUUUUUGUUAUCGUUUGUUGUCGUUUAUAGAUAUUAAUUAAAUACAUUUAGAUAUGUAUUCUAAAUGUUCAACUGUCCGACAAAAACAGUGGCACACUUGUUUCCAGUAUCGGCUCUUUUUUUAAUCUACGUUUAAAAUAUAGUUAAAACGAUUUUAUUUUUUCAAAUACAUAAUAUACAAAAACAGGUUUUUAUUUUUGUCCAUUUCUUUAUAUUUUAUUUGUCUACGUGAACGUUUUUAUAAUUCCAUCAAAAUAUAUUAUAAAAGUUUUGUUAAAUUAUGCAACGAAACUUUCGAAAAAAAUUGUCUAUGAUAUUUUUUUAUUUUAAAAUAUAACUUUUACGUUAAGUAGGUAAUGUAAUUGCAUAUAACGUGAAGUAUAAAAUAUUAUUAUUUAAAUAGAAUAAUUUCUUACGUCGGUUUUCGUGUAGCCAACAAAAAAAUCUCGGUCUAAAUAUAUCGCGUAUACGUAUAUACCGUGUUCGUUACCACGACAGUCUACAUACCGUUUUUCGUUCGAGUAUUUUCUCGGUUCAAAUAUCGCUGUAUGUUUUUCUUUGUUUUCAGUCGAUUACCCCGCGUUCACAGAAGCACAAUUCCGAUGUUUUUUUAUAUAUAUAUAUUUAAAAAAAAAAUAUCGCGACAUGAUGUCCUGCCAUAAAAAUCAUAGCGUACAUCAUCACGCACACACAUGUCCACAUUUUUAUAAUAUAAUACAUAUAUCUAUAAAAUAGUAUGUCUAUUUUGUAGACCUCGACCCGCCUGUUUAACCCUCUGCAGAAGGAAUAACGUAAUAUUAUCUCUUAUACUACAACAAUGCGCACCGUAUCAUCUUGUGCACUGUAUGGUACAGGUCUUAUGGUCGUACACAGUUAAACCGAAAACGUUAUUAUAUUAUUAUUCAUAAAAACAAAUAUAUUGCAGAUGAAGUUAUAUAUGUAUUCGUGUUCAUAUAAAUAUAAGAAUAUUAUAUGGAUGAUAAAAUUCUACAAGAAAUAAGAAUACAUGUUAAUGGUACGCAUGGCCAUUAUGUUCAUAUUUUAUAGCUUAGUGCGAGUUGUGUUAUAUUUUAAUAACUUCAUUAGAAUUAUCAUUCGAUUUUUACUUUGUUCGGAUUAAAACUUUAAAAAAAAUAGAAAUAGUUUUUUUUUUUUUUUUUAAUCAUAUUUCGUUGUAAAUUUAUGUCGGUAAAAAAGUAUUUUUUCGGUGUAUCAUUGAUACACAUUAAAUUUUCGGAAUAUUAUAAACUUGGCAUGUAUAAGUGGUCAGAAUAUACAACUAUGUCCUGCAUGUCGUAUUCAACAGAAUAUAUAUAUAUUUAAUUUGAUAACAGGAAAUAGAAUUCGUUUAAAUAAAUACAAAUUUAAAAGUUUCGUUGUGUAGCAAAAAAAAAGUUCGAGGAAAAAAGCGCCUUUACACAUUGAACCGCUUAUAAAGAACAAAAAGAAUAAAGAACGACGAAAAUCGUUUAUAUUUGAUUCGGAAACGCCUAACUUCGAGAACGGCGUGUACUGAAUUUCGAAUCGCGUGCUUUUAUUCAGACCGAUACCAGCUCGAUUUAAUAAUCAAAUCGCAUUACCUCUAUAUACGUUUUAUUGUGUUUAAACCUUUAAACAUGUAUGAAAGUAAUUUAAAAGAGAUGAUGAACGUGCUUGAUGACAAUUUCGGUAGAUGCAGUGACGGUAUUUAAUGUGGUCCGCGUGAGUAAUGAUUUUUUAAAGUUCCGAGGAAAAAACUAUAGUCAAUUAGCCAUAAUUAGCCAUGGAAUCAAUUAGCAAAUACAAUUACAGCUUGCUGCAUAAUUAUAGGUACUUUUUUCUGACCUUUAAAAAAUUAUUAAAUAUCAUCAAUUUAAUACAAAUAAAAGGUUGAAACAUCAACAUAUUCAAAAAAAUAUACUCUAUAAAAUCUUCAAAUUUUUCGAAAAUAAUAAAAAAAAAAGUUAUUUUUUUAGUUCUUUUACCAAAAAAUUAAAAUCAAUAAAUAUAAAUAGUUGUAGUCCUUAUUAUCCCUGUGAGUUAUAUAAAAUAAAAAAAAUGUGAUUAUCUAUAUUAUCCCCGUAGAUAUUUCAAUGAGAUAUACUCAUUCGUAAGAUACUUUGUUUAAUAAGACUAUUCGAAUCUUGUGUUAAAAAUAAGUGUUGCAAUUCAAAAUAGUAAUUUGAUUUGUACAUGCUUACAUUGAAAGGGCAAAAAAUUUUAAAAUUUAUCAGUCAAAUUUGCUUUUCAUUACCACCUAGCUAUCACAGAAAACAACAUUUCAUUCUAGAUUAUCAGCUUUUAAUGAGCAAUUUAGUACCAAACUUUAUAUACACUUUGACUAGGGAUGGGUUUUUAACUUUAAAAAUCUUUUAUGAUCAAUUGAUUAGAUUUUAGUUUGUCAAAUUCGAUAGAGAAAUCUUGCUUCGGCUAUUAUCUAAAAGACAAUUUUUGUCAGUAAAUUUUGUUUAGUCGGUGUGUCCGGAAAGUAUUUUUUAAAUUUUUAUUAAGAAUGAGCGAAACAAGAAUAUUUAUGUUGCAGCAUCGGUUCGACUCUUUUGUUAGUAAGUCAGUGAAAAUAAUCCUAGACCAGAAAUGUUUACAGAAUAGAUAUUUAAUACUGAUAUUAUCAUUUUGUUGUGGCGGUUUGAUUAUUAAAACACUCUAGUGUAAUUUAAGAGCGUUUUUGAGUCGUAAUUUACGUCACCACUUUAUUACUAUACACUUCCACGGAAUUCUGCCAACAAUCGUUUUUCAUUUACGUUUAUAAUUAGAAGAUACACACAAUGAUGUGGGUUUUGGGGGAGACAGUUGUGCCGAUUACCCACACCCUUCCUCAAAUACCCACGUGUUAUAACCGUGUAUCACCGUUAUCACUUAUAUCUCUUACAUAUAUAAAUUUUCAUGAGUCAAUAAAUACAAUGAUACUUGCCUUUUUGGUAUAAUAUAAUAUAUCGCUACUAGGCACGGAUAAAAUUAUUAGAUCGGCUGUUUAAUAUCGUAUUGUAUAUCUCGAACAAAACCGUAUUAAUUAUUAAUUAAGGCCGUGCCGAUUCCGUGAUUAACUUCAACUAUUAACAUUAAAAAUGACUGUCGAAUUAUUUUGGAUUUGACCACAUUAUAUGAAUUACUGAACAAACGUUUCUUUUCAUUACAAAACCGUAAUUAUAAAAUUGUUUUAAGAACUUUUUUUUUCCAUGAAUUUUACAAAUAUAAUUAUUUAUGGAAUACUUGAAAAUGUAAUUUUUUUUAUAUUUUUUCAACAGUAGGUAAAAUAUUGUUUUAUUUUAUAAACUAAUAAAAAAAAAAAGUAACGAAACACGUUAGAUUUUUAUUAUAUAUUUCGGGUGGGUAAGUAUAAUUUAAAACGCGUUAAUGGAUUUUUCUUCUUUUUUUUUUUUUCCGUUUUUAAUAGCGUAUUGCAUAAUUAUAUAAUAAAUAAAAGAGUACAUAAUACACGAUAUAUUAUUUUAUAAUACUUGUACAUUGUAAUGAAUUAAUUUGAAUAAUACACGAAUAUGUAUACGAUGGUUUCAAAACAUUAUAUUAUGGUUUCCAUUAUGGUUUUUAAAAUAUAAUUUAAUAUUUACUCCAUAAACCUACCUAUUAAAAAUAAUUCUAGUUAUGAAAUGUGAUAUUUUGCUAGUGAAAAGCUAAUACUAAUACGUCACAUUUUAGGUAUUUAGUAUACUAUAUAUUGCAACGCGUUUAUCAGUUCAAUAAGCUAUAUUAGAGAAAAACAUCGAAAUACUAGAUAGCUUUUGUAAUAAAAGUUAAUCAUGAAAAAAGAGUUAUUCAUAGAGUUUAUUUCUGUAAAUUUAAGACGACUUAAAAAUAUUCCCCAUUAAAUGUAACCGUUUCUCCUAUAAUAUUAAAAUAUUGAGUCUUUUUUUUUUUUUUUUUUUUAACGUUUACCAUCGAGAGGACGACUAUUCAGCAGUAGCAGCGGUUUUGUUUAUUCGCCCUCGGGGUCGUCGCUUAGAAAAUCAGCUUCUGUAUCGUACCUAUAUCUAAAUUUGUGGUCUACCUUUUUGAUUUAUACAUUUUUUUCCCCUUCUUAAUUUCCUUUUGAAUUUAUCUAGUUUAAUUUCAAAACCCGCAGGUGCCGCCACCAUUAUUUAACGUUAAUAACGGCCAAACCUUUUAAACUAUUAUAUUAUAAUAAAUGAUAUUAAUUUAGGUAGGAUUAUAUUAACGAACCAAAUUCAAUAUUAUAAUAUUAUUAAAUUUAUUUGUAUACAAUGUGUACAUCAUCUUUAUAAAUUCUUAGCAGUUUAACAAAAUAUAUUUUUGAGUAGUUUCUAAAAUAUCUAGUCAUAGGUCAUAAGUUCUGUUGUCAGUCAUUAAAACCAAACUAAUCAACCACCGAAAUAUAAAUUACAGAAAUGUCUUGAAUGAUUAAACCAAAACAAAUUUUUUGAAAUUUAAAAUUUGUAUUUAAUAUAAAAAUAGAUUCAAUGUUUUUUUUUUUUUUUUUAAUUGAAAAAACCACGCCAUUAAAAUCCAAAAUCUAGUAAAAAAAAAAAAUUAUAUAUAUAUUUAAAAAGUAAAUUACUCACUAGAAAUUGUAUUAUUGGUGUGUGGCUUCUUUUUAGGGAAAGAGUUAUAUAUUACCUAAAUUGGUUUUAUAAGGUUUAUUCAUUGAACCAUAUUAGUACAAUUAUUAUUUUAUAUUAAAUACAUAAUAAUAACACAAUUUUUAUUUUGCCCAUAUUUUAUUUCGAAUAGCUUUGUUUUUGAAACCAGAAAAAUAAAAGCUUAUGUCAAUGCUUAGAUUUUCUUUUUAUAAUUUUUGUUUUAAUGAGAUUUUUCCCCUCUUUUCGGGUCUAAAUUGCAUAAGUGUAUGUAUUUUUAAUAUAAAUUAUGUGUAUGUGGUUAAAAUUAUGUAUUAUUCAUAUAGCAAAAAAUUUUUUUAUAAAUAUUUGACUAUUUUUAUAAUAUUCAAAUUGAAGAAUGUUAUAGAAAUAUCUAAAUAAAAACUAUACUAUUUGUUUAAUAUCUACAAGUUUACAUCGCAUUUAAUUUUCUUGUAUUGAAAACUUCUCAAGAUUAAUUUAAUUUCUUUUCUCGGGACUGAAAAUAUGCACAAUAUUAUAAUAUUACAAUCUAUACAUUCACACCCUACACGGGAACGAUGGUAAAUUGCAUACCGAAAGCGCCGGCGUGUCGCACAGUGGUUUGAAAUGAAUAUUUAGCUUAGCUUAUAAAAAUGUGAACCUCUAAAAUUCAUACAAUAAACUAAUUUUAAUAUUUAUUGAUAAUACGCGGAAUCCAAAUUUAUUGUCAGUUUUGAAAUCAACUCCGUUAUUAGGGGAAGAGAAGAAAUGUUUUUAGAGAGAUUUUUAGAAAAUUUGCUUAAUUCAUAUCUAAUAAUAUUAUUAAUAUUUUGAAGUGUGCUGAAUCUAAACUUAUUAUCAGUUUUAAAAUCAUAUUACUAAAAAUAACUUAUUGUCAUCUGAAAAUUCGUUGGUUUUUUUUUUUUAUUUUUCCUAUAGAAAAUAUUAAGGAAUCCGAUGAAAAAAUCAUAGAGUACAAUAUGUUCAGCAAAUAUUAAUUAUUUUUUUUACCCAGGUUUUGUUAAAGAAAAUUCGAUAAAAUAAAUUCUUUUUUAAACCAUUUUAAAUGUCUUACGUUAAAAACAUGCGUUUUCCUAUCGCAUUGAGACCAUUUUUUAUGUACAUUUUUGAGAAAGUUUUGUAUUUUGGACCACAUUUUAUUUUCGUAAUCAGACCUCCAUUCAUGGCCAUUGUGGUUUUUAUGAAUUUAGUGUAGACAAUUAUUUUUUAAUUUUGACCACGGAAGUUUUAUUAUAUCAUAACCGCGUAAGAAUCACCACGAAUAAAUCUUCGUAGGGGGUAAAAUGUAUGAUUUUUCUAUCGCUACUAAAACCAGCCGAAAACACAAUCAUUAAAAAGAAACUAGACAUAAUUACAUACCCAAUAUAAACACUUAUAAUUCGAGAAGGAUAAUUUUAGAUAUAGUAUAAUCACAUUUUAGUGUAAUAUAUAAUAGGCGUGUACCUAUUCAGAUAUUAUAACUGUAAUUUGGUCUGCAACAUCUGUAUUUUAUUAAAACUAUAAUAAUUAAGAAUGCACUUUGGAGCAUUAUUGGUGACAUCGAAUUUAGAUUCCAAGCGGAGCGAUGAAUGUAUUAGUUUUACAAUGAUGUUUUUUUAUUAUUUUUUAUGUGAAUACUUUCGCUACCAAAAGCAACCGUUUUUAUUUAUUUUUUGUUAUUUUAAAAUUAAUCUUUUAAAAACAAUCAUUGUUGUCAUGGAAACACACAUUGUUGAAAGAGGUAGGUAAACAGGCACUUCGAAUUAAUAACUACAUCGCAUAAAAUUAAUAUUUGAAGAACAAUGAUGAUAAAGAUAAGGAUGAUAUUAUACCUAUUAAUCACACGAAAAAUUGUAAACAUUUGGAAAAAACAAUUGGCUAUUUAAUUGUAAAAUACAUUAAAACAAGGUAUAAUCAAUAUCUCGUCUGAUAUAAUUUAUUAUCAUUUUAUCUGUUGGUUUAUAAUUUUAUUUAUUUUUUUGUUACAUAAAUCAAUCACAAUUAUGAAAUUUUAGAGUAGUAAAAUAUUUUUACUACUUACACAAAAACAUAUAAACAUGUGUUUACUGGGCAAUUAGUUAUAUUCAAUAUUAUGCAUUAUUCUUUAAUAUGGUAUACAUAUUGUUGACAAAGCAUCACUAUCAACUGAACUCCGCUCAGAAUCGUUUUUCGUUAGUAAUUGUUUUUCAUUGCUUACAGAUAUACAUUAAAUUUCCUUCUACGUCUUACUUUCCAAACUUCUGACCCACAAUAGUGGAUGCGCCCACGUGCGAAGUAUGUCCGUCUUUUAUAAAUAAAAUGGAUAUUUUUUAGUUUAAAAUUCAAUCUUAUGAAUUUCUAUUUUGAAAAAUUAUAUGAAUAUUAAAUGAAAAUACUUUUGUGUAAAACUUACUUUCAUCUGAGUAUUUUAUUGUAUGAAAAAAUUCAUCUAAAACAAAUUUAUUAUUUGAUCGGUGCGUGAAAACGUGCGUGAAUGAAAUAAUUAAAAUAUUAUUCUAUACUUUAUGAUCUUUAUCUAGGAUUAGAUAAUACGCAUGACAGUUAUUUUAUGCAAUCAACCAACUAAUGUGUAUAUGUAGGUAGUAUAUUUUAAUGAUAAUAACUCAUAAAAUUAACAUUUCAUUAUUUGGAUUUCACGUAAGCUUAAUAUUCAUUUCAAACCCCUGUGCGUCGUCGUCAUCAUCUGCCAUAAUAUUAGCUAGCUAGUCGUUUGACCCAGGAAAAUUAAUAGUAUUGUAUUAUUUGUUUUGUGUUAUUUAUUUAUUUAUUUUUUUUAAUAAAUAAAUUCUAUAAUAUAAUGUAACUAAAUAAGAAUGAUAAAAUAUAAUUUUUCAUUUGAAUUAAUUUUAUUAAAUUGAUUAUAGAAUAUAUUAUCUAUGUGUUAUUUUCUGUUUAUGUUGGGGGGCCAUAGCGAUAACUGUAAUAAUAUUAUUAUGUACUAGGCUUAGAAACUUAUAGCAUUUGGUUAUUUUCUCGACAUUAAAUAAUUUAGCAGAAUGCUAUAUUAUAGAAAUAUAAAUUAUAACAUCAAAACAAGUUCAAACCUAAAAUUUAAAAUAAAGUGCCUUUGUUUUUUGUAAUAUUUAUUUCAAUACUAGUGAAAAAAAAAAAAUUGGAUUUUACCAGUUCUUAUUUUCCUUUUUUCUGUGGUAAAAGACCCGAACCAUGUUUAUUACUAUAAUAUAAUAAUAAUAAUAACAAUACUGCGUUAUAAUCACAGUCCGGUUAUAUUUCGUAACGAUAACGUAGUUAAUGGUGAAAAAGUAAUCAUAUUAUAGUACACUGGCGACCAAUAAUCCUAUGGAUACAGUUUUAAUAAUAUGUUAAUUUAUGACGACAACAUUACAUAUAGGAUAGUUUUCUCGCAAAACUUUGACGAUCAGUGUGUGCGAAUGUGGUCUACGGGGAUACACUUACGCCAAGUCCUUUUCUGUGUGACCUUAGCCUUAGUAUAUUGAGCCCCGAGGACACUAUCGUUUCAAUCUGACGUUUCCUAUAAUUACUGGUGUCCGAUUUUUGUUUUUAAAACGAUUGUAAUUGAAAAAAAAAGUAUUAAAUUGCAAUAAGAAAGCGUCUCGCUAACACUAAAUCAAUGAUGUAUACAUAAGGGGGGGGGGAUAGAUAUUUGGAUUUGGUCUUACCAUCGUUAUUUUAUUUUUUUAGGUCUUACAUUAUAUAAAUCAUAUAGACUAAAUAUACAAUUUAAUGUUAGAUCGAAUAAAUAAGACAACAUAUUAUUUUUUCUAAUAUAACGGCUUCGUAGUAAUACAAUUCAUAUUAUUAUUAUAAAUACAGUUUGGUUUUAGUCAAAAAGAUCAAUCAAAAAUUAAAACUUGUAUUUACAUAUUGUUCCCAAAAACAAAAAUAUAGUAACAAUAACUGCUUGAAUAUUAGUGCGAGAGAAUGGUGAACAUUUAUCCUCAGAGGGGGGCUCUCGUAUUUUUAACUCCCCUUUCAAAAAUCACGUAUAACAUGCUACUGCCACAGCACUAUGUAGGUACAUAAUAUAAUAUGUUUCAUAAUAGAAAUAGUAAAACAUACAUGGCUUCAGAUUAUAUUUUAGUUUUAUUUUUUUUAUUUAGAGAACAUUUUCAACCACUUUAAGCUGAAAAAAAGUCUUAUAUUAUUUUAUAAAAUUGAUAUUCAGAUUUUUAGUAAUAGAAUUUUCUUCGUUGACAGUUAAUUAAGAGACGAGAAUUGUAUGAAACGAUAUGUAUUUUAUAAGAAUUAUUAUAUUUUGACAAAAUUGAUAAUUAACGAGUUUAACUCGUUAAGCUCGUUAGCUCUUUAAAAGCUAAAAUUUACAAUUAACAAUGUUACAAUGUUAAAUUGUUAUAAUAAAUAAUGGAUUUGUUUCGAAAUGCCCCAAGUCAAUUUCCUUUUAAUUUUAUUUACAAUCUAUACCUACACUAUUUGAAUUUGUCAUUAUCAUAAUAUAAAUACAAGUAUAACAAUUUUAUCUUUCACUAUCGUGUACGGAGUUAAACGAAUAAAUAUUCCCCGAAUAAAUCCUCUUCAUUUAAAAUUGAACAUUAUUUGAAACAAAAAAAAAGUAAUGACUUCUCGAAGUAUAAAAAUGAUUUCACAUAACUUUACAAAUUGUAUGAAAAUAAUUAACCAAACUCUAUAUUGAGUUAAUUAUAAUAUUAAUUAAAUAUUGAGUUAAUUAUAUAAAUUCGAAUUCAAUUUUUACUUAACUUAUUCAAUUAAUAAAAUAAUUGAUUUUAAAUGCGUUAUCCGCGUGAAUAACUUUUGUCAAUUUAAAUUUUAACACAACUGCAUCGUUAGUAUGUUUAUAGUUAUUCAUUGACUGGUGUGUCAGCGUUGCAUUUUUAAACACAUAAUUACUUAUUUUGAUUUAUCGCAUCAUAUUAUGUUAUGACAUGAUCACGACGCAAAAUAUAAUUACAUACGGAUGCGGAUGAUGUUUAAAUAUCGCAAUAAUAGUUGAAAACAAAAAAUACCCCAAUCGAAAAUGUUUUAUUAAGUAUAAAAAUUACUAAACCAGCGAGGUGUAUAAUACAAUUACGCUAUUCCAUUUUAACCCUUUCGAUAUCAUCGUGCAUAUCGUUACAUUAUGUUAUGUAUAAAAAUAUCAAUUGAAUUAUUCCCCCGCGGUCGCGAAAAACGUAUAAACUGUUAUCAUAUUAACGUAACAGUAUAUUGAUGUAAUGCCGAAUAUUUAAACGAAAUUCGAUUUUCAAUAAUCAAAUUCACCUCUUCUAGGUUUUUAUAAAUUGUAUAUAAUUAAAACAUCAUAAUUAUAUUACAUUAUAGGUACGAACACGUCAUAAUUCAAAGUACCGUAAUUCAGUGUUUGGAACGUUCACUAAAAAGAUGAAUUCGUCCGCGUUCUUUGAAAAAAUGAAUGCGUUCAUUAGGUCGUUCGUUUAAUUUUUUUUUUUUUUUUUUUUAUGAAUAGUUUACCUGCACAGUAGGGUACACGUUUUACAACAAUCACAACUAUAAAUAAAUUCCGUGCGUGUUCUGCGCGUCCCUGUCGUUUUGUAAUUCCCAGUAAUUAAAUUUAAAUUCCUCGGUGCAGAUGAUAAACGUUAAAGCCUACGUUUACAUUUUAUUCAUUUUUAUUAUAAUUAGCCGAUUAGAUUUUAGGUAUACCGAUUUAUUACGAAUUCGUGGAAAUUAUAACAAUGCUAUUGUUGUUCAACGUCGAGCCGGACCAGCUGAAAUUUCACGUGUUUAAUUUUUAUGACAUUUAUCAUCAUAUAACAUGUAUAAUAGGAAUUAGAAUGGGAUAAUACGAACAUAUUAUCGUAUAGAAUAAAAUUGUCAACGUAUUAAAUAUUUUAUACACAUAUUUGUUGAAUGGUAAAUAAAUCGAGUGUCUUAAAAAUCGUUCAAAUUCAUUGGAAACAUAAACGUUGUUCACGUUCACGUUGUAUUUGAAAAAUAAACGAGUGACGUUCGCGUAUCGUUCGUUAAUUAUGGACGUGAACGCGUGAACGUGCGUCCGUAAACGACGUUCUUUCCAAACACCGGCGUAAUUAUUAUAAACACGAUGGAAAUGUUUUAUCAAAAAGAAUUCCAUUUUCAGUUGCAAUACGUGGCCUAAUAUAAAUGUAAAAACUACAAGAAUAUUUCCGCGGACGGACGCCGUCUUAUUAUGACGGUGUUGAGGUAUAAUUGUCGAAAACGUUGACAGCAGGUUGCGUGUUUCGGGUAAAGGAUAAAAAAUACGGAGGAACACAAUUAUUAUUACUGAAUAAAUGAUAUUGUAAAACCAAUUUUGUAUAUUCGUGUAAUAUUUGUUCGAAAAAUAUGUGUAGCCGUCUGCGAGAGAAAAACGAAUAAACAAGGGUUUAUAAUAAUAAUACAGGGUGAUUUUUAUUUUUUUUUUCUCAUUAUUCAACGAUUACCUACAAAAAUUUCGAGUGAAAUUAAAAAUUCAGUUAUUAUUAUAUUAUACUACUUAUAUGCCCGUUAUACAUAUGCCUAUCUAUACAUACUAAUCUGCCUAGAUGAUCGUUGGGUCGUGAGAAAAAAAAAAGAAAAUCAUGAUUUCUCGAUACGUCUAUCGGCAACUAGUAGUGGCGCAUUAUUUAUACGGCGACGUAUAGUGUUCCACCUACCCCCUACCUAAACUUAAAAAUGAAAUAUCUCGUCAUCGGGAAAAAAAUUUUAGCACCAGAAUAUAUUUAAACUUCAUUUAUUUUAUUUAUGAGAUUAUUAGUAUAUGUUGUAACUCGAAAGUAAAAAUGUGUAGUGGUUUUACUCCCGAAAAUAAAUGCGACAGAAAAUAACGAAACAUUUUAUAUCUGAUAGUUAUUUUAAAUUGUCAAAAAAUAAAAAUCGAAAAAUCACAAAAAUGUUAAUACUUUUCGAGAAUAAUCAUCUCACCUCAUUACACAUAAAAAAGUGCAGUUGUUUUAAUACACCAAAGUGUUAAUCUAAUACACAUUUGCAUAUUGUUUUUCCCUUAAAACAAAAUUAUAGUUAGUUUAAUUACAAUAUAUUGUUAAAACAUUGAAUGUUUAGUAAAUGUUUGAUGUAUACUCUCACUGUUAUAAUGGGUGUAUACAACAACAAUAGUAUUUAAAAUAACCACGGUUUGGUGUUAAAACUACUAAAUGAAAUGUUGAAAAAAAAAUCUUAGUAAAAUAAAAGGUACGAUGUUCCAUAAAAUGUCUAAUCACUCGCGGCGGGGAUCGAAUUCGCCUACCUAAGGAAUCCUACCUAACGCCUGAUCCCUAUCGACUACUACCUACUUUGUUAUAGAAUUAAAUGGAUAUUUAACUGUUGCAUAAUAUUAUUUAUUUUAUCAUAUCUAAUAUGUAAAAUACAAUAUUUGUUUGAUAGUAUGUUUGUUCGUAUGUUAUGUGCUUCAAAUCUAAUCGAAAGAAUCAAUAUUAAAUAAUUUUAAAGGUGCAUUUUUAAUUAAAAGUCCCCCAUAAUGGGUUAAUAUGUGAAAUUUAGGUUUGAGAUUACUUUUAGAUAAUAAUAAAUAAAGUCUAUUAUAUUAAGCCACUAUUUGGUCCAAUAAAUGUUAAAUUGUUCUUGCACAGCAUGUAUCAACAAUUUUUCGUAAUGUAUACAAUAUAUAAAAUAUAUACAAUUUUGGUGUUGGUAUAGAAUAUAGAUGCACAUCGGUCGGAGAGCAAGAAUGAAUAGAUGAUAUGAUAUCAAAAUAAAUAAAAUUACAAAAUUCAUCAAACAACGUAAACAUCGAUAACUGAUUAUAAACAUUAUACUAAGAAAAAAUAAUUUUCCUGUGGUAAAAUCUAAAAUUAGAUUAUUAAUAUCAACUCAAGACUAAAUGGUGUGGUUGAUUUAACAAUCAUAUCGACUGUCAAAUUUAUCAUCAAUAGAAUCAAUUGUUUAAAUUAGUUGUUUAAACGUUAUUUUAACACUUUUAUAUUUAUUAGAAACAACCAAACGCAAACCAAGAUGUGUGCAUUGAACUCCUCAAUUUAAGUAAAAUUAACAUCAAAAUUACUAAAACUGAAUACUUACCUAAAGUUGAUUUAAAUAUAAUCUACUCUUGAAAAGGUUUUAAUUUUUAGUUAUUUAAAACAUGGGUGUUGUUAAACAAUAUUAUUUAAUUCAACUAUCCGUUUCCAUUAUUUAAACCACGUACGAAUCUUAAUUUAAUUUGUAUGUAUUCAACACCUUAACAUAAGUAAAAUCAAUUCCAAUAUUUUUAUGUGUGAUUGAGGUUUGACCAGAGCGCGACAUAUAGUAUACAGAGCGAUAAUUCGUUAAGCGUUUUAUUGAUGGCGUUGGCAUUUUGGUGUCGGCAAAUGGUAUUUCCGAAAAAAAAAAAAAAAAAGAAUUAAAUACAAAUUAACCUUAUAUACGUAUGUUGUAGCUGGUACCUAUAUGUAUGUAGACCAAUACUCAAUAAAUCACCCGUGUAGGUAUAUACGUCAACCAUUAAGUACAUCUGAGAAACAACUUCCGGGCAACGCCUUUGAUGGAGAUGUACGUACACAAAUUGAGCGAUUGAAUUGAACCAUUCGUCAUUGAACAGAAUAAUCUCACGUCCUCAAUACUACAUAUUUUUAAACAAAAUUUGAAAGUUACACGUAUAAUAAAAUAGGUAUUACAUUCCAACGAUAAAAAAUUGUAAUUUUAAUACAGUGCACUUUAAUAUUGUAAAGUUGCAGUGAUUUUCAUGUUAAUUUAUUUAAAGGUAUUUUUUUUUGUAAUUUUGUAUCUCGUUACGCCGUCGUUAAGAUUUUCUUAACGUUGAAAAUUACCUUAAUGGGAUGUACGUUGUACUCGUAUCGUUUUUAAACCAGUUGUUUUAAAGAUUGAUUAGUAAUCUAACCGUAUAAAUAAAAAUCAACUGCCGCAUGUAUGAGAAAUCAUCACGUUGAAUGGCUUAACCAAUUUGGCUGAUUUUUUUUUCGUCGUGUUCGUAAUUUUCCGAAUAAAAUUUGAAUAAAAGAAAAUUUAAAUAGAAAAUAAAAGUCAGAAAUUUAGUUUAUAUUUUUUUUAUUUUUUUUCGUAACGGGUUAUCUCCGAAUCUACAGUACCUAUUUACGUGCGGUUUUUUGGCAAAAUGAUUCGUGUUGUCCAUGAAGCUGUACAGCUUUUAAAACUUUUGAUCUGACCAGUAGAAGUAGUAGAUCUAAUCAGCAAUAAUUUGGGCUAGAUAAAAAAUUAUAAUUUAUAAAUGUUUUUAAUUACUAAGUGAACAUUCAUGGAAGUUUAAAAAUAAGACACAGUUUUUAAAAUUUAAGUGCAACAACGGUUGUGUAGUGGUAAUUACAGAGAUUGAAAAAGGGAAUCCAGAGAAAAACCUCAUUAUUAGACAUUUAUUUAGCACAGACAACGUCGGACGGGACAGCUAAUUUAUAAUAAUAAUAAAUCGGUCAGAAUAUUUGUAUAAAUAUUUCGUAUUUUUUAUAAUUUAAAAUAUGUUUUAAAAAGAAAAAUUGCUAAUAAAAAUUUUUUUUAUCUUUAACAUGACGGGUAGGUACAGAAAUACACUGCUUUCGUAUGGUGGUGAGUGAAGUAAUUACCAAAAGUAAUUUUAGAAUUUGAGUCAAGUUUUCGAAGUUUUUUAGUUUUACAAAGAUGUUUGUUAUUUUAUUAUUUUUAUCUGUGCGUUACUUUUCUACCAGAAGACUCGGAUUUCUAAAUGUAGCGCCUUUUCUGAAAGUAAACUGGCGUGGAGAGGUAAGCAGAUCAUUUAUAGAUUUUCUCAAUAUUUCUCAUUAAAUUUGAAAAACCGAACAGAAAAAAAACGGGAAAAUUUACGAAAUAUAUUACUAAAAUAUUACUUUAUUUUUCUUGUGCCAACUUUCCAACCAAUAAUUUUGCUCCAACUUUUAAUUAUAACAAUAUUUCUAAAAAUAAAUUUCAUUAUCAAGGUACUUUAAAGAGGUCAUGUUUCGAUUUUCUUAGGAGUUAUCUCAUCAAAUUUGGAAAACCGAAAAAAAACGGGCAACUAUAAGAAAUAUAAGUAUUAGUUAAAAUAUAUUACGGCCUUCUUUUUUUCUGUGCACAACUUUUCUACCAGCAAUUUCGCUUUAACUUUUUAUGAUAGCAAUGUUUUUAAAAGAAAAUUUCACUAGCGAUAUACUUUAAAGUGGUCACUUAUCGAUUUUCCUCGAGAGGUUAAAUAAGAGUUUUCACAGCAAAUGUGAAAACCCAGGUUAAAACAUGGGAAAACCGGGAAAAACGUAGGAAUACUGGAGAAAUCAGUACAACAUUAAACAAAUAUUAUUAAAGAAAAUAUAUAAAGCCUAUUUAAUUAUUUUACUAUAAAAUGACAUACACAUAUAUAUAUAUAUAGCAUUACUCACAACUGAACUCCUCUCAGAAUUGUUUUUUCAUAAGCAAUGGUUUAUUGUUGCUUUCUCGUAUACAUUAAAUUAUCUAGAACAGUAGCAGCACCCGUCCCCAUUAUCAUAGGACGUCUUUUUUCUCAUACAUCUAAUAAUAAAAUAAACAAGUAUUAAGUUUUAUGUGAAAACACACAUAAAUCCUUAAAAAUAGCUUAUUUCUCAAUAAAAUAAUUAUUUGAAAUCUAAAAAUGAUUUUUAAUCGUAUAAUACAUUUUUAUCUUAUACAUAAACUAUAUAAUCUAUUUACAGUGAAUCCCGCUUAAUGUGAGCGUGUUGAGUCCAGUUACAUUUGUUCACAUUAAACGAUUACUCAUUUCAACCGAAACGAGUGUCGUUAUACAUUAGAAUUGUAAUUCUAUAUUAAGCGGAAUCGACUGUAUACGAAAAAUGUCACUUAACUCUACAGUAUACACAACAUACACAAAACAGAUACUGAAGUUAGUUUAUAAAAUGACACUAACUGCACUUAGUUUCCGAUAAACUAGAUAUAUAUUCAGUAUAAAUGUCACUACCAGUAAUAAACACAGUAAAUAAUAUCAACUGUUGCGUUUUUUAUUAGUCAGUUUAGUAAGUUAGUCUAGGUAGUAAUGUUUGAACAAAAAACGUUUAGUUAUGAUAAUUUAAAAUCGAUUUUUUAAGUACUACUUAAACAAUAAACAGACCACAUUUUUACCGUUUAGUUGAAAAGACGCAGAAUACGAUAGUUAACAAUACUGUAUUAUAUACUCAUUUUGACAAUUCGGUAGUUAUUGCAUUUGCCAUUACGAGGGCAGUCAUAAAGCAAUCAGCUCGUCUACUAAUAUUUUUUUAUAAAUCUUGAAUAAUUAUUUAGUAAUUCUCGAUUCGUCGAGUUGAAAGUGUCUUAAAAAUGAACAAAGUCCUUGAAUAUAAUAAAUUAUAUAAUGCAUAAAAUCCUAAAAUAUAAAUUGGUUAUUUGUUCGCCUAUUAAUUCUGGUUGAUUUAAGUAAUUUUAAGAUUUAAUACAAUUUCUACAAAUAGGUAAAUCAAUUAAUUGUUAAAAACUAAUAUUUAUGGGGAGGGGUGGAGAGAAGCACCAAAACCUGAACAUGUCUCUGAUCAGUGUGGAAUAUAAUGUUUACUAAUCCAAGACUAGGAUUUUUACACACUUGCUCUACUAAUAUUCUAUUCGCAUACACCUACUGAAACAUCCAGAAUUCCGUGCCUAUAUUAUAACAUACAUAUAUUAGUAUUAUGACAUAUUGAAAUUAAUUUGUUCGUUAUACUUCUAAUUUAUGUUAGUUAAUUAUUAUUGAAUUGUUAUUAUUGCAUCGCUAUUGAUAUUAAUUAUACCUGUCUUUUGUUAUCCAUUCACGCACCUAUACAUUUUGAUGGAGCUGUUGCUCCUCGAAAACAUUGUCAACGUGCCAUCACUAAAACCUAUUACAAUGAAUAAUAUAUAUAUCCCGCUUUUAUGUCUUUCAUUUUUUAUCGUAAAAAUAAACCGGCGUUUUCAACAUACAAUAAUAAUUUAAAAUAUUAAUACAUACUUAACAAAUGCGUUAAAACGGUAAAUUUGUCAUUAGGGACACGGCAAUAAAUACUCCAGUGUAUAUUAUGUUCGUUUAUGUCGAAUGUACAUACUACUCAUUAUUAAUUAUAUUUUUUUUUUUCUCUUAGUGAAAAUAAAUACGUUUCAACAUGAACUAUUAAUCAAUUUAAGAUUUUAAGAUAUUUUUACGCUCGAAAUAUACAUUAAAAUUUGUCGAAUCUUUGUUUAUUAGUAAUAAUUGUAUGGAUCAAUGUAAAAUAUUAGGUAUUUUUUAUAUUAUUAUUGAGUUUAUAAUAUAAAUUAAACAUUUAUAGGUAAAAUAUAUAAAACUUCACUAUACAAAAUAUAAUACCCAUAAAAUGAAUAUUUUUCUUUACAAGGCAUUAAACGAAAUGUAUUCCGCUUAUAUUUUUUAUGCGGUUAGUGAAAAUUAAAAAAAUUAAACUCAUUAUUUUUUUUUAUUAUUAUUAUACGCAAUAUAAUAAUUAUGUUUGCAUCGAGUACAUAUACUUAUAUAAUGGUUGCUUAGAAAUUAAGUACUUAAGUACUAACAUUUUAUUUUUUCUUAAACUAUAAUAAUCUACUUCAAUAUAAUUGUAUAGGUACCUAUGCUAUUUAUUUUCUUUUAUAGGUAUGCUAAUGUCUGAAAUUAUAAUAUGACUGGAAUAAAAGUAUAAUGACGUAUUCAAAAACGUAUCAAAGUACACUGACAAUUCAUUUUUCUUGAGCAUAAAAAAUAAAACUCGAAAAAAAAUGGAUACAUAAUAGCGUUCGUCGUUAUUAAUUUUGAAACAAAAAAAAAACUGCAGUAUUUGAACACACCUACGCUAAGUAAUACAUAAAUUGAAUAAACCUGAAUUUCAAUUUUAAACGCGAAUCUAUAGACCAAGUGACUACAUUUUCUUUUUAAUAUAAUAAAAUUAUACAUGAAAACUCAAUUCAUCGGUUCUCCGCCUUUUUUCUAUGUAUAUUUAUAGGCACAGAUAUGUUUACAUAAAUAACGUAGGUUUUCUUCAAUGCAAUCGCCGCAUAAUGUCAAAGUACACCCGUAAAAUCUCCUCGAUUCCUGUUUAUACGUAUAAGAAGGUAGCUAUACUUAUUCGUUGGCCUGGUGUUAGAAGAAAUGGAAUUGUUAAAAAUAUAUCAGUUGCACACAAUGAGUUGGAUGGGGCCGUGGAGAAGGGGAGAGAAUGCUUUAUAAUAUAACAUCGUGUUUUACUCGGGUUUUGAUUAAAAUACGAAGGAAAACGUCGUCUUCGGGGAAUACCGUAUACGCGUAUACCUACGUAUCUUCCUUUUUACAUUUAUUUUGAUUAUUUAUAUGCAUACGCAUAAGUAUAAUAUAUAUUUAUUUAUGUAUGUGUUUACCCAAAAAAGAUAUUUAAAAAAAAAAUAAUAACAAAAACCCUAUGCCUUAGAACAACUUUAAUAGCAAAACAAACCAUUCGGUAUUAUAUCAUUUUCGAAAUUCAUUUGAUUUAUGUAUUAUGAAUAAAAUAUUGGAAGAUUUGAUAAUAUUAAUAAGUCGUUUCUAUUGACUUUCAAUGUGAAUGAUCAUUUUUCAUUUUUCUGUCCACCACGAACUUUUAUUCUAGAAAUCUUGAUUCAAUUAAAAAAUGACGAGAGAUAUGUUUUGUUAAAUUAGGGAUUUAGUCAGUGCACUAUGGGGGUUAUUAUCCGAGUAGAUUUUAAUUUACUGAUUUCAUUUUUCUACCAACAAUCUUAUUUAGAAUUUUAAUAUUAUCAUAUUUUCUCAGACCAAAUGUUGUCUAGUUCAUGGAUAAGUAAGUCAUUCUGUUUUGUUUUUCUUGUUGUUUUCUUAAUAUUCAGGGGGAAAUUGAGGAAAAACGUGAAUUGUUGGGGUAAAAACAAUUUUAUUAUUUUCUAAUUUGUUUUUUUCGUUAUAAUUUGGUAAAAAAUAAUCGCAGAAACCUAAAAUGUUCACAUAAUAAUAAAAAUGGAUUUUUAAAAACGUGGUCAAAUUUUCAAACCAUUCUAUCGAUUUUUAGUUCUUUAUAGGCAUUAGACAUUGAUACUGCUGUUGGGUGUGUCACUGUUGUAGAUUGAAAGUUUGGAAGGUAGUGCACAUAAAGUUAUUUAAUUUAUAUCUGUACGCAACGAUAAAUCUUUGUUGACAAAUUACGAUUCUGAGUUUGUUUAUUGUUUAUUACUAUUCAAGACAGCUGGGCAUUUUAAGUAAAAAAGUUUAAAGUUAAAUUGAUUUUAACUAUUUACCAGUGCCGUUAUAAGCUGACACACAAUGAUAAACAUUUAACUUGUUUACUGACCUAACCUAGUUUGUUUAUAGUAGAUAUAGUUCAAUUAAAAACAAACUAAUUUUUAGUUAUAUCACGUUAAGCUAAUUUCGUUGAAUUCUAAAUAUACCACAUAUCCAAUUACAGCGUACUUCAGAGUUCAAUGGAUACGAAAGGAAAAAAAAUUACUGAUAAAGUGAAAAAUACAUAAUCUCGGAAACUAAUAUAACCUGGAUCACACAAUAAGAACUAAAAAUAUGGAAUACUGUACCUUAUACUUCUAGAGAAAAUAAUGAGAAAAGAAGUUUUGGAAUAUGAAGAUUAUCAUAGUUGAAAUACAUUCGUGAUUCGUUUGAGCAACAUAAAAUUUAUUAUUUUUGUGUGCUCUUUGAAAAAGAAAAAAUAUUUAUUAUAAUUUAAAAAUUCCAAAAUGGAUAUAAAAUAUAAAAUGUUGUUGCCUUUAGUUUUGUGAAACAAUUGUUAUUUUAAGUUUAUUAGAACCAGAGUGAUGUUGGGACUCCGAACACUGUAUUUUUGCUAUGUUUCCGGUUAAAAAAACAUGUCUGAUCUCCUCUUAUAACUUACCCAGUUAUUUUUAUUUGAAUUUACGCGUUUUGGCGUACAUUCUGUAUUUUUCUCCGCGAAUUUUGUAUUUAACAAGUUUAAAACGUGAAGAUAAUAUUCUUACGUGUAAAAGUUACGCAUACUGUCAGUAAACCGUACAUAUUAUUCGAUAUGCUUCUUAAAUACAACGGCGUCUCUCGUAUAAAAUAUUUUCUUGAUGUACAGUAGUAACAAAAGCCUCUUUUCUCGCCAGGUUCUUUUGUUACCUACAACGAUGGUACACGCUCGACGACCUUUCGAUGCUGUUUCAAAGACUCCGCGUAUUGUAGUAGAAUGCAGUCGCCGCUGCUGCUGUAACCAAAGAGAAUGACACGACUCGAAUGAAAAGAUUCCUUAUAAUAUAAUAUAGACCUAUAACAGUAUCUAUACAUUUAUAUAUAUAUAUAUAUAUAUAUAUUAUAUUAAAAGAGGGUAGGUAAUGCGUAAAUACAAUAUCAUCGGAUUUACCUGAACAGUAUUUUGUAUUGUCAUAACCUGCUUUGACCGUCUGCCGUCGUGAUCAUCGUGACAUCAGUAGUCAUGGUGAUAUUGAUUCAGUUUUAAGAUAAACGGGAAUCUUUUCGUGUAUUUACAAUGUUCAUUUUUUUAUCAAUUUUCCAUACACAUCCAUAAUUAGUAUACGCAGUAUAUUAUAAGCACCCAGCAACUAUCGUGGAAGGUAAACUAACUAAGGGUAAAAUGUUACCUUCAAUCAGUACACUAAAAAAUAAUUAAUAUAAACUUUUAAUAAUUCAAAAAGUAAUAACUCCCUACCCCCACUUUCAAUCCGAAUUUUAACAGAGAAUAUUUGUCUAAUAAUUCAGGUAUAUAAAUUUCAUAUUAAUUUUUAGAUGAUCAUCUAUCAUCACUAUUCCUGCGGUUUAAAUUUGUAAACUGUGUAACUAAUAAAAGAUAUAUGUCAGUUUGGAAUAAAGGUAAAGUCAGAACAUAUUUUAAAUAGGUAUAUAAUAUAAUACAUUGAAACAAUUCUGACGUGACCAAAACAAGUAAAAUAGAUUUUAUUCAAAAUCUUGGUAUAUAAUUACUGGAUCGUGAUAAAAAAAUACAAACAAAAACACCUCGUAUGUAUACAGUAAAUUUCGUGAAAUUUGCGAUUUAUUUCUAGAUCAGUUUUAUUACUUUGUGUAUAGGGAUAUCGAAAGCAAAACGAAGGGAUUUAAUACUAUACGCAAUUAUUAUUGCCCGUCACACAAAUCUGGCAACAAUAGGACUAUGCGGUGACGAAACAUUCGACGAUUGGUAAUAAUUGUUUUUUUCUCUCUUUCUCUCUCUUUUAGAUACACAAAAACCUCGCACGAGCCAUCAUGUUAAAAGGGUCACCGAUCGGAGCCUUUUCUACUUCGCG